rnacentral:lncRNA from 1 species
UUGUGUUUGAGGGUUUUUUUUUUAUGGUUGAUCGGUCUAAGGCGAACUCACCAAAAAGAGUUUUUUUUUUCUUUUUAUUUUAUCUUUGAGGCUUUUCAUUCAGUAAGCCUUCUUUAGACCGGAGCCUUAGUCGAUCGCCUCAUUUGCCUAAGAGUUGGGUCGGCUCUAAUCUUGGUGAGUUGUUAGCUCGCUGUUCAUCUUUAUAUUAUUUUCAAAAUAUCAAAAAAUAGUGUUGUGAGUUGAAUGCCGAAGAGUUUAUGUUUAAAGUGGUCUUUUUAUUUUAUUUUGAUCUUAAUUUAUGUAAUAAAAAGAUAUUGUGUAUGAACUUUUUAAUAAUUUAAAGGCAGUGUCUUGCAUUAAUCUUUACUUAAUGUUAUGGAAUUAUUACUAUUGGAAUUUUUAUGUCAGAAUCUUAUAAAUUCUUUAAAUUUGAUAUAGACAAUUCAUUGUUGCGGGGAGAAAUAUGUUUCUAAAAAAAAAAAAAUCCCAAUGAGGCCUUGCACUUUUUAUAGGGCCAAGCUUUAUUGAAUGUGUGGCUAUUUGCCACAUGCCUAACUCCCACCAAUAGAUUGCAGCACGAAAAUUACAAUAAAAACUGGUAGUAAUUAGUAACUAUUUUCAAGGACGAAUAAUUACGUAGUGAAACUGAAUAGAUCACAUAUUGCGCAAGAAUACAUAGGAAGGGUGUAGGUUUUGGGUAAAGCAAUACCAAAUGAAUGAGGAGUAAUUCCCUCAUUCUAUGAGAAUGUAAACUAUGAUUGUUAUAGUUGUUUUAUGCAUAUAAAAAAAAAUAGUUUUAUCGCUAUAUUUUCACUCUUUCAAUAGAAAUUUAUCAUUUAGGGACCACUACCAAGUGGCACAAAAUUGAAGUUUGGUCAUGCCAAUUCGCCAAGUUAUAUUAUUACUAGAGUUCGGCAUGGACAAAGUAUUCCUCUAGAAAAAGAGUUGAGUCAAUUAUAAAAUUAUAUAUGUGCGUCUAUUAUUUUUUAAAUUCCGAAAGGUGGAAUUUUUGGACUCUAGAGAAAAGCAUGGAGUCUAGAUCAUGCGUCUUCUUUUUAAGAAAACAAAGAAUGUAGAAAAAUAAGAUAUGGAGAUGAAGAGGGGCGUUUUCCUUUUUCUUUUUCCCGAUAUUGGAUCUACAGUAAGAUUCCAACCUCUAAAGCCGGCAAUAAGAAAUCUACCUCGAAGCCUUUUUUUAUUAUAUAUUAGUGGAUAUAACUAAUUUUAUAGUAAUUCAUAGUAUUUCAUGAAAAAAAAAAAGUGCUAGAUUGCGGAAUUGAAGAAAUUAAGACAACAAUAACAAUGUCAUUUAAUCUCAAGAAGCUAGAUGAUGGCCAAAAUUUGAUCGAUGGCAUCCCUUGCGAAUAACUUGCCUUAAUAUAACUGAAGAGGUCUGCUUGUGGUUAAAGUGCUCAACAUGGCCUUUUGAUAAUUUUAUGUAAUAUUUAUAUAUUGUUAAUUUAAGCAAAUGAAACAAAUGCAGCCACUUAUUUUUAGAGCCAAACGAAACCUUGAGUCAAUCAAUCAAUUUAUUUAGUAGGUUUUAUAAGGCUCCUUCAUAGCAUGAAGGUAUGUUUUCUUUUUUUGAGUAAAACUAUAAUAAAAUAUUAAAACUAUAAAACAAAACUUUAAAAUGUUUUGCAAGUCAUGGAAUUAGGUUUUGCAGCUUUACAAGUGGAGCACAAAACCCUACACACUUGUAGGGAGGGGAGGGGAGGAGCUGAAUAAACAAGCAACUAAAAAAUCUGCCUAAGAAUAAUAUCUUAUUGAUCCAAGAAAAAUGCCCAACUAAAUUUAGUGGUCACAAGAUUGGUUAGGCCCACUGCAUUAUGCAUCACACACAAAUCUUGGAAACUUGUGUUUCAUAUAUAAUGAUCAUUCUAAUACAUUAAUGAAACACCUAAACUAGCAUCAUGCUUUUAAAGAAGAUUUUCAAUGUUAAUCGGCCAUCCCACCCAACCUUGUUGCAAAAAAUGAAGCUUCCAUUGCAUAGCGCUGAAUUUUUGCCUUGUGAAUUAAUUGCUCAUCCAAUGUAACUAUGGAUAGGUGACAUUAUAAAAGAAUAGUUUUCCUUGAAAAAUUGAAUAAAGAUAUACCAAUGUCAAACCAUGAUCCCAGCCUUUAGAUAGCCCCACAUCAUCAGCAUGAGGUGCCUUGCUUUUUUUUUCUCUUUUUCCUUUCUCUUUUUUUUGGAGGACCCACUAGAAAACCAUGCAAACUAACACCUGUGAUAAUUCAUCAAUAAUUAUGAAAGACAAGAGUGGAGAAUAAAUAGUACAAGAACCAUGAUGCAAGACUAAGCUAACUCUCAGCAAGCAAGUUAAAAAUUAUUAGGCUUGCUGGAUAAUGUUAAAAUUAGACAUUCAAGAAUAAUUGCUCUUUCUUAUUAUUUUAUUUCUUUUUUUUGGCUAAGAGUGAUGAUUCACACUAUUCUAGUAUAAAUACAUCCAAAAAAAUCAAAAAUAAAAUGCUAGAAGAAUGCCUUUGGUAUCGGUGCCAAGUCGGUCCACAAUACAUUACCAAAAUGCUCGACCAUCCAAUUUGUAGUCUCAUUCAUCUUAGGUUAGUCUACUAGUUUUUUAAAAAUUAUCCGUUUGUGCCGAAGGGGGGUAACUUACUAUAAAGCAGAGGUCCCAUUACAGCGUAGACUUGCAAGACGCGUGUCCCUGCGGACUUUCCAAGGAGGCGAUGCCCUAACAACCCCACCCACCCACACUGUUUGGCCUUAUAUCCGUUCAUUUAAUCAGCCUCUCCACCUAAUUCUUAUGACGUUGAGCUUUGUUAUCUAAACCACCAAGCCUUCAUUGUUAUAAAUUUGGUACGUCAGCUGUCAUUGUUCCUCGGUUCCUGUUUUGGCUCCACAAGAACUCGAACCACUAGAUUCUGAGAUAUCUUGCUCUCACAGGCCUCAGGCAGCAUGACGGAGAGCUCUUCUAACCAAAUGUCGGUGUAACGACUCAUCUUAUUUCUAAACAUGGAUAUGCAUUAUUCACUAAGAUGUGCCGACAAUUAUUUCCUAUGAUGGAAAUAAUUGCAUUAGGUUUCCCACCUCACUACUAACAGUCUUGUCAAAUUCAAAUGUUUAGUUUCAUCUCUAGGUCUCAAUGAGGUUUUCCGUUGGUACUCUCAAUAAAAAAAAAAAGAGGAGGUUUCUGUUAAUGUUGAUGCAACCAUGAGAUUAGGCUAUAUGGGCCCCCAUCCGAGAACACCAAUUGGCUUCUAUAUGGCCGGGCAUCGAAAGGGCCCAUAGAUUUAAACGAAGGCAUUGAUGGACACCCGUCGCUUGCGUGGGGGGGCGGAAGAAAGGGAGAGAACAGAAGGGACAGCGAAGGCCGCAUCGCUUUGGUAUUUACUUUAAUCCGACAAGGAGGGCAAGCUUGCGUUUCUGGUGGUUCCUUUAUCCCUUUCCCAGUUAAUAUUUUGAUUGGAACCUUCUUCAUCCCCACACAAUAUCUUUUCCUUUUAUUUUGAGGCCCAGUCUUGCAAAUAAAUCUGGAAGAUGAGUACAUCAUGCAAUGACUAGGAAUUUGAUAUUGUGCGAGAGAUGAGCUUUUUUAACGGAGAUGAGGUUACAUGAUAAACUUGGCCCAUGACGUGUAUUAUUUUUUUCCGGUACUGAUGCAUUAUAUAUGGUAUUAUUACAAGAGUUAUAAACAGAUGGACUUGAAAAGUUACAUGAUAGGCAUGCUAUCAAUAUUAUAAUCAUCAUUAAGUUAAUCUGUUAAUAUAGUUCAUGCGGGAAGAAUUAAAAUGUGUUUGACUUGCAGCCGGAAUCAGAAUUGGAAUCGAAAUCAAAAUAGAUUGGAUCAGAAUGGCCAUACCUCCGAUGCAUUUGGUUUGUGACAGAGAAUCUAAAUUGAAAUGGAAUAUGAGUACUUUCAAAAAGUAAGAAUUGGAUUUUGAGUAAUUGGGAUAUUCCUAUUUCUUCUUAAAAUAGAAGGAAAAUAAGAAUCACCCAUUCUCAUUUCCAGUCCAACUCCCCUAAUUAAAUAUGUCCUAGAUCAAUAUAGGAUUAAAAAAACAAGGAAAGAAAAGGAGAUAAGAAACAAAUAUAUUAAAAAAUAAAAAAGCUGCAAUUUAUGCCACACCAAUCACAACCUGCUCAUCUUCUCUAUUGCUAUAACACGGAAGGUUCCUUCACUCACCUUUAAACCAUUUAUCCAUAAAUAUUGCUAUAGAUGUGCAAUUUUCGGUAAAUACAACUAUUGUGAAAAUAAAGGAUCUCGAACUUAGUCCCCCAUUGACUAGAUAACGGAGAUGUCUAUUCCUUAAAUGGAUGGGGGCAACCCUUUUCUCUUCAGAGGCGCCUUUUGCAGAGCAAAACCAUGCAAGGGAAAGAGACUAUGAAAUCUCCCUCAAAACGGACAAUACCUCUGAGAAAAAGCAGUCGCUUCCGCUGUCUGAGCCUGGUGGAGACUGAGCUCUAAGGUCUGGGGAAUACCCUCGGCCUCAUCAAUGGUGCUUUCGUUAAGAUUCCUUGACCCCAGCACAGACCCUCUUCCGCUGGAGGGGCUAUGUUGUAGGAAUAAAAGGUUUCAGACUUAGUCCCACAUCGACUAGAUAGCAGAGAGAUCUGUUUCUUAAAUGAAGGGGGCAACCUUUUUCUCUUCAGAGGCACCUUUUGCGGGGCAAAACCGUACGAGGAGAAGAGACUAUGAAACCCCCCCUCUAUUUAAGCUUUGGGGUCCGAGGGAUACUCUCGGCCUCAUCAACAACCAUUUGUAUUCACUCUAAUAAAUGACAAAACAAGUGUAUUUAUUCCUUAGAAGAAGUAAAUAAACUGAUGGCAAAUAUUGUAUUUUACCAAAUUUGUUCCAAACAGCAGUCACCUGGUAAAAGUCCCUUCCUCCGGGUGCUCACAAGCUCGGCGCUACAUAACGAUUAGUGCAGAAGGGGAAAUUUGAUAUAUGAGUAAUGUGGGCUCCACAAUUAGAAAGAGAUUACGUGUCAGCUGACCAAUGCAUGAGCACUGUGUUCUUGCUCACUGCAUCAAGCUGCCAAUCUAGCUGAUCUAUUAUAUCCACACGUCUCAAUGAUGGCAGGCCAGAUAUCAUUAUCAAUAUAGAGGGAAUAUGCCAAUUUUCGUUAUCCACUGGACCUCAAAUAUCUCAUAGCUUCGAUUAAGAAGAGAAUCUAUAUAUGUAUCAGAAGACUAAUCCUUAAUUGUAACCAUUUGUUUCGUGGGGCUGAAAUGCAAAAUUCUAAUGAUUUAAUAUAUUAUAACUUGGUGUAUGCAUUGCUUGUGGUUUGUUCAAUUACAAGCAUUUGAUUGAUGAUUAUGAUCACAUCAAUCAAAUUAAAUUGCAGUACUUUUACCAAUGCACUCUCUAUUAUAGUUUAUGUUUACAUAAUUAUUAUUUGAGUGCAUGUAGAGCAUACUUAGUAAAAAAAGUCAUCAACAUAUUUUUAUAAUGCAAAGGUUUAGAGUCCGGAACUAUAUGGCAAACUACAAACAUUCCCUUUGAAUUUAUUUACUUUAUUAUUAUUAACUGAUGUUCGAGUAUCAACCUCCUCUUUUGGUGACAAAUCCUUUGUAUUUAUUUUAAUACCAUGACUAUGUCCCUUGAUACUCCCUCCUCUGGGUCACCCUUCAGGUUAAAAGUUAUGAAUUGGAAACCAAUAGCUAUGACACAUUCUUGAGUUAUGCAAACAAAGUCUGUUAACAAAAGUAAUGAGAACAAGCCCUAAUUUCUCAAUCUAUGCUACCAAAUAUGAUGUACAAACAUUAAUUAUUACUAUGAGUAUAGACAAAUUAUGUCAUAUUCUUUAAAAUGUUCACUACAAGUAUCUAGUUGUCAAAGAGACAUAGACAGUGAUAGAGCAAACAAAAGCAGGAAGAAAGCAUAUCACAUAAUAUUUUUCCCCCGAAAAACAAGAUGAGGAGACACUCCACAACUACUGAAAAGAUGGUUUAUAGUAAUUUCCUAAAGCUUUAGAACUGAGCAAUCAUUUAGAAACUCACAUUCAAAAAACGUCACUCAAGAGAUGUCUCUCUACAUGCAUCACCAUCAUUAACAGCUCAUAUGGGGCUGGGGUUGACUAGGAGAGGAUAUCAUUCUCACCAUCACUCUCAGCAUUAUUUACAGAAAUCUUCAUGUUUAACAGAGAUUAGUGUUGUCAAAUUGUCACCAAACAUGAUUACCAAAAAGUAAAAAACAAAGCAACGGGAAUAAAGAGGCAGCUCCCUUUUCUAAAUAAAAGUGUGGAAUGAUCAUCCAUUCCUCCGUGGACUCCUGGGCUCAAAUGUCUCUCGCGGGCCGACGCCCAAUCCUUUUUGUCUCGUUGAGGAGAAGGGAACUCGAGUUAAUGGAUGCUUCGAAGUUGGAAGUCUGAGCUUGGCAGACAGGUGGAGUUGGUCAUACUCGUAACUUAUGACUCAGAGGAGAAUGUGAUCUGAUAAAAACGCUUGAAUUUUUAGCUGAUGCAUCUUCGUUGCUCUCUCCUUUAAAGAGACAAUUCAACCAGAAGAGUGAAAAAUAAAGGAACAUCUAUAAGGAUAUGAUGGAAACUUGGAAUCCAUCCUUUAGCAUAAAGGAGAGUUUGCAUCAUGGCAGGAGGUAUGACAUGAUAAUUAUUUUACUUUACGAUGUGCCCGUUGACAUGCUAUGACGAUAGCAAUGAUAUUCUGGCAACUGAUAGUGGAUGCCAUUAAACUAUUCUAUGAGAAUAUUCAUAACUUAAUAUGAUUGCGCUGUUCAAUAAGAUCCAUCAUUAAUGUUAUAAUCUAGGAAAAUUUCAAGAGAUUGAUAGAGAGGAAGGUAUCUAUUCCCUCCAAGGGCAUAUUAAUAACCAGGCAUCUAAAUCAAAGAUGCACACAAUUAAUUAUGAUCUAUACCACUUUAAACAUCUAGCAAUAAAAAAUCACUUGAUUAUGAUCUAACGUAUCAUUAAGCCGUGUUCUCUCUCUCUCUCUCUCAAAACAAAACAAGGAAACAAAAAAAGAAAGAGAACAAACAAAUGUUUCUUUCAUUCCAGUUGUAAAAUGAGACACAUGCCUAACACACGUCCUGAAGCAAAGAGAUCCGGGCACUUCUCUUCUCGAUUUCCUUGGAAUCCAUGUCACUGCAUCACUCAUAGUUAUCUAAAUUUGUACUCCUUGUUCUAUAUCCACUCUUAUAGUUGUUUAAAUGCACCAUGCUACCGCCCUUUUUGCUCUUUGCGUCUCCAACAGAUGAGCUUACAUUGAUCUUAUCCCCGAAGUAUAGCACAGGUCAGUUGAUGCUAACCGUUUACUAAAUUUGUGCGCUUGAAAUUAAGCAAUGACCCUUAUAGUUCUUAUUAUCAAAUAAUAAGAGUAGAAUAAUCAAUGAUAUACUAACAUAAGAUCAAUCAGGAAACAGAGCAAGAUGAGAGAACAGAGAUCUAUCAGCCAGAUUGCAGACGUCUCGUGCAUCAAAAGCCAUGGGUCUCACCUUUCUCAAAAUUGUUAGGCCCCUCUUAGUGCACUCCAACCAAACCAUAUCCUUUAAAUGCUAAUGCAGUUUGCCCACAAUUAAGCCUGAAUUUUUUUUUCGCUAACGGGUCCCAAAGACAUGGGUCCUCCAUUCAGCAAUUUGGCUAGGAGGACGAAUAUAGGUAGCAGCCAUCAGACUGCAGAAACCAGAACUGCAUCUGGCCAACGUGUGCGGCUUGUAAUACAAGAAAUGAGGCACCGUGCAUGCAAAGAACAGGAUUCACAGAAAUUCGAAGCUACCAUCCUGAUAAGUUCGGUAGUCAGAUGGUGACCUCCACGGCAGAAGUCAUUAUAAUACUCAACGAACGUUCUCAAAAGUAACUUAAAAUUCCAACAAGAUGACAUACCCGGUGGAUGGUGGAUGGACCAAAACUGCAGCAUGAAUGAUACCUUAUGGAAGAAAAGGAACGAGCCGGUCUUCAUUAAAGAGAUCAGGUAUCAUAGCUUCUGGAUUGCCAAACUCUUCCAUUAACUUUCCUCUUCUUCUUUUUUUAUUAUUUUCAUGCCAUAAACAUGCCACUAAAGAUCAAUAAUCCUUUGUGGAUGAGAACGAUUCCGAAGCUGAAACUAAAAAUGGCGGCACUCAGUACAUACGGACGGCCCACAAUAAGGACUGUUAUUCGCCCAAUGCCGUAGCAGAUCAGUAACACAACAUGAGGCCCCAAGAAGAUAGGAAUUUGCCAACCAUGGAGGAGUCAACUUCAUCUAAUCUGAGAGAAUAGACUCUUUAAGCGUCUGUCACGUAUGUAGAGAGCUCAAAUUUAGGUUGUCUUCAAGACCUGACCUGAGUCAGCUAAUUCCAGUCAUAAAUAUCUUAUCCGAAUUCAUGUGAACUGAUUGGCAUGCUACAUUUUGACGGUUUUCUCCUUAUCUGGAGAUAAACAUCAAGAGAGAAGAACCAUAAAUAUUCCAGACAGUUGAAGACAUAUAUGUUCCAUAAGAUUAAAAAAGAAAAAUGUUUUUUUCUCAAUAAACCCUGCAAGCAAUUAAAAAGAUAAUGCGAUCAUAGAGUUCAAAGACAUCUGAAGAAGUCAGCUUACUUUAGUGAAAACACCGCUGGCAAGUACAGCGGCUUUUUAAGCAUAAAAAGUUGAGUUCAUGAUAAAGAAAAUACAGUUGGUAAUCACAAAGGUCGAAUUUAUAAGCUUAGACAGCAGAUGGAAAAAUUUUCCAAAAAGCAUGGCAUGAUAGCGUGUCUAUACGAUGAAGCUUAGAUAGCAGAAAUAAACAUUCUGGUAUCAUGACAUCGCAAUACACUUAACCAUUCUGCAUGUAUGCACAUCAAAAGCAAUGGGUAUGAGACACACUUCAUUCUCUAGAAGCUUCAUUGGAGAUUCUCUAUGUCAACAAUUCACUAGGAACUAGUGUCAACAAGCUAAGGACCCAAUGAUUAGGUUUUGACAGGAUACAUUUUUUUUUCUUUUCCAGUGCAUGAGUCCGUACAAAAUAUCGACAUCCACAUCAUAAUGACAGAUGUGCAGCUUCAAUACUAACAAUCCGUCUACAUGCCUGUCUGAGGUCCAACUUGCCUGCUCGGUCUAUCCACAACUCGUGAUGGACCAGUUAUUGCAGGGUUUCUAUUUCAAUUGAUAAGAUUUUUUUUCCCAGAUAUUUUCGAGAUAAAAGUGAUACACAUGGGUGCCGGUUAGAAAUUCAUCAAUCUGCAUCAAGUUCAUAAAGAUCUUGCUCAUCCUAGGUUCUGCUUUUAACAAAAAAUUGUACAAUCUCAAGGACAAUGAAAAUUACAGAUGUUUGAUCAUUCAUUGAUUUUAAAACCAAAAUUAACAAGAAAUGCAAUGAUAUUGAUUGUGCUCAUUCCAAGAACAUCUUCCUAGUAGAUGCAUAAGAAACCAAUUGUAAAACCCAUGCCUUUUAAGGCCUGAUAUUGGAUUGGGCCUGCGUGGAUCAGCCCAAAAUCCACCCAGCCCAAAAUCAGCCCCAAAAUUGAAACCUAGAAAUUGAAAAAAAUUGGAAUUUCUUGACUCAGCCCGAGCAUGUUCUAGGUGGUGAGGGAUUGGAAUGCACGUGCAUGGAGGAAUGGACUCCAACUACUUCCCCGACUCGCUAAGGAGUCUGACUGCCUGAGGGAGUUCGAUUCUUAUGAAAUUUCGACGUCAAAAGAUCAUCCAGAGCCUCGAUAUCUCUUCUAUUUAAAAUAAGGUUCGUCGUAUCGGUAUCGGAUUCCGUACCGUUGCCACACUAGCAUAGCGUCGGUACGGUACGUAGUUUUUUUGGCGUACCAAGGGUUGGUAUGCUAUCUACACCGAUAUCGGUACCGAAUCGGGUACGGUACAGUACGCCCGAUACCGUUCGGUAUGGUAUGGCAUGCCAUGAUUUGAAACCAACUUCAGACCCCUCUAAUCUCCACCUCUGACACCAGGCCUCCAAGUCGGAGAAUCGCCGAAGUUUUCGUCCUGAUCGUUGUUCGCCACAACCACUGUUUUGCCGAAAAUAGUCUUCAAACAUCGCUACGAUCAAGGUGAUUAGCCUCUAACCUUCUAAUUAAUCAUUCUCUACACCCUUUCAAGCCUUUAGAUUAUGAAUUCCGGUUGGAUAGUCAUCGAAUUUAGUCAGGAUAAGGAUGUUCUGUUUGUUUGUGAUUUCCCUUAUUUUGGGGUCUUAUCGGAAAUUUCUGAGUAAAUAUGGCUCCAACUGCUGGCUCACGGCCACACCGACCUUUGGACUAGUGGUUGUCUCAAGCCAAUCCCCGAUUAUAGUCAGCAUAGAAGUUGCCUUUCCUUUGGAUGUUCCAUGGGUUGAUGCCUUGAUUUUAUUUUCCUUUUCUUGCAUCGCCAGCCACCGUUCCCCUGCCAUGCCUCGCCACCAUUCUGCAGUUGUGUCUGGCCGCCGACCUUCCAGCUAUGUAGCCCCACCCCACCAGUCCUCCAUCGCCUGCGUUUCCUCCCUAUGCCCUUUCCUAGAAGGAGGCCAACACCCUUCCCUAGUUUUGCCAAAAAGAAGAAGAAUAAAAAAAAACAAAAAGAAAGAAAAAGCCAAUUUCUCUCUCUCUCUCUCGCCUCUUCUUCUCUCUCUCUCUCUCUCUUCAUUAUUGAUGAAGGGUGAACCCUAGAGGGUCCCACCCCUGUAACCUAUGAUGACCUUGGUAAAGGGGUCUUAACACCCUUAGCCAUUGGGUAGCAUGCCAACCCAACCCAGUCCAUGUCAAGCACCGCUUGAUUCCACCAACAAUACUUCUUAUAUUGUUAUAUAAACCCUAUCGAGAUUCUUGUUCUGUGUUUAGACCGGUUAGAUUAGCUAAAUCAGACCGAUCGAGAUGUCAGACACUAUCGCUUGGUCAAUUUUGUUUCACCCUCUUAGUUUCUCUCUCUUCCUCUCCAUCAUUCUCUCUCUACUUGAUCUAUAAACCUAGUGCAAGGUCCCAAGCCCUGUUGCUUUUGGAUCUGAUUUGACCCUAGUAGAGGGUUCUUGAAAUGCUCUGUUGGUUUAGCAGCAUGUCAGCAAUACCCUGAUCCUUGAUAAACACUGCUGGACUCUAUUGUCAUUAGUUUUUAAAAAAUUUAUCUAUGCCCUAUCCUGAUUCUUGAUCCGUAAUUUGCUCGAUUGGAUUAAAACGAUUGGACCAAUCUAGGCCAUAGGGCACCACUGCUUGGAGUAAAGUUAUCUAGACAAGAUGUUCAACAAUGGGAUACUUUGAUAUGGUGUAUAAAUUAAGAAUUUUGAAAAAAAUUUGCUGGAAUUAUGUGGACUUGUCCGAGUGGAUGUGAUGUAAGUAACCUAAUGCUUCAAAGUUUGCUUUCUAUAUGACCUUCGAAAACAUAUAAUUAGUUUAUUAAAUUUGGUUAUGAUUCCUAUUUUAUGUUUGAUUAAACAGGUCAAGUAUGCUAUUAUUACACCCAUAAUUAUUUUAAAAUAUGUUAUAUAUUUUGAUAUUCUUGUGAAUGAAUUUUGAAAAUUUGACCAUGUAGUUUCUAAAAUUGUUUAUAUAUAUAUAUAUAUAUAUAUUCUCAACAUGGCUAUGAUCUGACCCUCCAAAUGGAGAUUAUACAUUGGUUCUAUCGACUUAUAAUUUGAGAAACUACUUUCGGCACCGAGCCACUGGUGAUUAGAAUAGUGGUAUUUGUUAUAUGACACUUGGUGCACCCUAUAUCUGUUAUCUAACCCAUGCCACUAGGUUACGUGGCCAUAGAAUAGUAGAUGCAUAAGCAACCAAUAAUCUAACUAGCAGUCUUGAAAUGUUCAAAAUGUAAUAACCAAAUUUGCCGAUAGGAUUUCUUAUCAUGAAUAAGAACUAAGAAUAGUUUUUCAAUGUCUAUUAUGAAUGGAAAUAGCAAAUUAUUUUUCUUAGCAAUUCUCUUAUAUGUCUACUCCUAAAUUUCCUCCAAGUUUAACCUUCUAGUUAUGGUCAUUUGUAACUUCAAAAAUUUUUAAUUAUAAUGAACUGGAACAUGGAUGGUGUUAUACUUCAAUGUAUCAAGUCGUAGACAACUUGUUACAACAUGCCAUCUGAGAACCAAAUCCAAUCGGAAAAUAGUGGAUUUAGAAUUAUUGAUCAAAAUCUAAACAAAUUAACCAGUUAAUCAGGUAAUAAAGUUAAGCUCCUAAGGUACUCAAAACAAAGGCAACUCCAAUAGUAAAUAUAGCUACUCUUUUUCAGGUAAACAAGCAUAAAAUAGCUUCCUGCAAAACUAACAUACUUAAGCACUAACCUAUGAUAAAAAAAAAUUUGCCAGUCCAGAAAUCUUGCCCUAAAAAGCAAGAACUUUCUUGAGGUCUUCCAUUUCACUACCCAUAAAAUUCCUGCCAAUAAAUGAAAGUGUCAUGGCUGGAAUGACUCAAAAGCAGGAAGUCCUACAAUGCAUGUGACCAUUUGAUGGGGCACUUCUCUACAUACCCUCCAUAAUAGGUGUGUAAACAAGACAAUACGAGCAGUUGAUGCCUUUGAAAUGAUUCAGGUGAAGAAUUCAAAAGAUCCCAAUUGGAAAUCCAUAUCUCUUUUUGAAAUUAAGCUCCUUUAAACCAAUUUUAUGGGCAGACAAACUUACAACUUUUUAGAAGGUGCUGGUUUACCAAACUGGUAAAGUCCUUGAUAGUUUAACCAAGUGACCUGGGAUUGAAUUCCCCUUUCACCAGGGUUUCGGGGGUAGAGGUAUUUGAGGGCUACCCCCCGUUGUAGAUUGCCUAUGGGCCCUUCAAUCUGAAAAAAAAACUCUUAAUAAAUAAGCCUUGGAGUAGAAACUUCGCAUCUAGAUCUCAUGGUAAAAUCAAAUACCAGGAUACCUGUCAACAAAAAUAAAACAAAAUUCUGUGGUUAUCUCUCUAGUUCAAGUUUAUCAUCUUGAAGUCUAGAAUUAUUUUCUUCAUUUUGAGACAUUCAUACUACUGAUAUGAAAUUUCUGCCCACAAUCUCUGAUCUUUACAUGUUGACAUUUUUCAUGAUGUAAGUUCUUUCCAUUUGGCAGCAUACUUCCCAUAUUUAACCUUCCUCCUGACCAUAAUGCUUCAAAACUGUUGACUGGCCUUCCAACAGUUACUUUAACGACCCUUAUAGUAACAAAAAAGGGCUUAAUCUCACAUGCAGAAGCCAACCAUGAUUAUGGAAGUGCCGAGGCUAGAAAGUUAGCCACAGCAACAAAUGAGUAUCUUCAGGAUUCAACCACAAAAUAGUCAUGGAGCUACCUAUGCUGAUUGGCUUGCCGCCAAUGAAAAUGUGCAACCAAAGUUUUUCCUUGAGAGGACAGUCAUCCCAAAUAAACUUGGAAAAACUUUUGCAGUUGGACAGAACAAUAAUGGUGUUAUGAAAGAAAACCAGCAAAUAAUAAUGAUCAGUCAUAUAAAAAACAAAUACUGCAAAUUGGGACAUGAGAUAGUUUGUCAAGAGAGAUACUAGUGACGGUUCUGAAGCAUCCAUCAUCAGUAGCAACAAUGCUAUUGCUUGCAUAUGAUAUAAAAACAUAACCAUCCCUAUUUGUAAACCUAUGGAGGUAAAAUAACUCAUUACAAAACUCUUUUAUGUUUUAUACAUUUAUGAUAUUGUUUGAUAUUUGGAUUUCAUUUUUGUUUCGUACAUGUCUUUCACAAAGCUUCCGUCAAAUGUCAGAAAUAACAUCACUGAUUUACUUGUUCAAGGAAGUUGACAUUAUUUUGCCCCUAUUUUUUUGAUAAUGUGAGUUGUUUUACUGAUGAAAUAGAUUUUAUGGUUCUUUUCUCAUUUUUCUUGUUGUUGUCGACAAAAAGAUUGAAAGAAGAGGAAUAAAAUUGUUAUGUUUAUCUUAGGGAAUAUUGUUUUUUGAUUCCAUCAAUCAUUUUUCAUACCAAGAACGCCCUCCGGCUUAUCUUAAAAAAUAUGUCAAUUACCUCACUCACUCUUUCUCUGCAAUAAGUAUCACAUGCCUGCACCCUCUCGCUUUUGUCCAAUAAGAUUAGACUCCCAAACGACUGGACCCAUCCACUUUCUCUUUGAUUCAACUUCCAAAUGGUUUGGACGCUCUCUCUCUAAUUCAAUUUAAGACAUACUUGCCGCCCUAUCUCUUCCCACAAUGUGAAUUGCACGUGCCUAGUAGCUAGUUUUCACCAAUAUUGGAGAUAUUUGUUUAGUGAAAGAAUCAAGAACAACCAUUUUAUGCUUCUUCUGUUGAUUUUCUAUCUAAAGGCAUCAAGUAAAACGAGAAAAGCAAAGAGAAUUGUUCCACUAGUAGAACUAGCAUUAUCAGAAAAUCAAGGGGCAGAAAAUGAGAAUUUCCUCAACCAAGUUAAUCAAUGAAAUUAUCUUUGUAAUAAGCUACAAAUAUUGACAUAUGAAAGAUUCCCAUAAAAGAUGUAAACAUGAAAAAAUAAUAUCUACAUAUCAAGCAAUAAUGAAACAUAAAAUAGAAAUGAGUUUCGUGAUGAGUCAUUUUAACCAGCUUUGGUUUACGGACAAAGAUGAUUAUAUUCUUAUAUCUGAUGCAUGCAAUGACAUUACCAUUAUUACAAUGAGUGCUUCAAAACUGUAACGUAUAUAGGGUUGCAAAAAAGCCAAAUUUAAAUAUCCCUUAAAAAAGAAAAAGGAGAAGAACGAUUCUGACAAGGUCAGGUAGAAUUAUCAUGACAGAGGAACAUGCAUCACUUGUUUAGAAAAUCAGAAGAUGAACUCAAGCAAAUACAACAAAAUCUUAGGAAUAUUCUAGAAAUGUACCUCUGAAAUAUCGUGGAAUGGACGGGAUGCCAAACCCUGAAUAUCAUCAUCAUGUACAGCUAUGGCACAGAAGAUGAUGACCCAUGCAUGUCAUUUGGAAUGCCUAUGUCGAUAGCCAAGUGGAAACUGCUAGUGAUAAGAUCAUGGUUCCAAAGCCAUAUUUCACUAGAGUGUCAGCAUUCUCAUCUUCCAGUCUUUCUUGUAAAUGUUUCAACCAUGUAUGGAAACUACAGUUCCCCUCCUGCACAUACAUGUCAAACCAUUAGCUUCUUUAGGAUUCUCUCAUACGAUAAAACAUUUAGAGAUUCACCUUCUUGUCCUGAUCAUAUGUUUUGUACCGGUCAGCAUCACUUUCUAACAUUAUUCGGUCAGCCUUGUUAUCUUCCAAGACGUACGGUGCUUCAAUUUUAGGUUCAGCUGAGAUGCCAGUGUAUGCUGAGUCUGUGUGAAUUGUUUUCAUGACUGACCCAAAUAAAUUUGUUACAGGCACCUGUUCAUAGUCGUAGCAGCAUCCAAUAAAACAUUACCCUGAUGAACUAAAAUAUAGGUAGUGAAACCCCAAAUGAUACCUCACUCAGGGAUCAUUGAUAAAGAUCCAUAUGGUAAUAUGCAGUUGACAUCAGCACACUUGGAUCGUAUGAAUUAAAAAGACUGCAGAUAUUAAGAUGUUCUUUGAUCAGUGCAGAAAUGUGAAAUUUGAUAAAAGAUGAUGUUGAGUUCAAAUAAGUAAAAGAAUUUUUCAGUGGGGCUCAUUAGCAAGAUUAAGCAAAAAAUACUAUGUGAUAGGUUAGGUGCUACAUUUCUUGAUUGAGAAAUGUAAAGGAAAGAAAGAGUGGAAGAGAGCAAAUUCCACUUUGAUGAAAUUUUAAUAGAGAUAAACAUACACAGAUUUCAACAUGUUGAUUGAGAAAUUUCGAAUCUCUGUAAAAGAAUGGCCAUAUAUUUGUACUAACCAAAAAAUAUUCAGGAGCAAAAAAAAGGGCAAAACAUAAGGUCCUGCCUCGCUGUCCUUCCAAUUAUACAGUUGCUAAAAUGUUGCUGAACAUCAAAUACCAAUUUACGUGUUAGUGAAUUCAUGCAUGAAAUUAAAACAUGAUAGGACUUAAGAUUACAAGCCAACUGUUUAGCAGUUAUUGAGGUAAUUAUCACUUAGCGGAUGGUGCAAGUAAACCCUCAUAUUGUGUCCACGAGAUCAAGGUUAGCCAUCUCAUCCUCAAUUGUCCAAUUCAGGUGUACCGACCUGUAUCGGGUUGGAACCAGGACAAGACAGGCAUUCGGUUCAAUUUAGGCCCCUAACCGGCCUAAACCGACACAAGCAUCAAGGCGGUCGGUCACUUGUCCCGCCGAAGUAAUUAAGGGGGAGGUAGAGAAGGCCUUACGUGCCUUCUCUAUCUCUUCCUCUCUUUUUUUCUUUUAAUUUCGAGAAGACAGAAAAAAAUACCCAUUCUCACUGGAUUCAAGCCAACAUUGGCGUACAAUUCUACUCUCCUUCCUUGUUCCUCUCCUCAGCCCUCUUUUUUCAUUUUGAGAUCAGAUGAAAUGUGUUUUAAAAUAAUUUCUUGAUAUGUUGUAGAUCUAAGGAUAAUCUACUCAAUGCUGAAAAUCAUAAUUUUUCAUUAAUAGUACAAGUUAUUAGAUCAAAAAUAUAUUUAGAUUAAAAUAUAGUACUAAAUAAAACAAUAAAAUUGUAAAAUUGGUAGCAUGUUUCGGGAUACACAUGCUACUUGUUACCUCAAUUUGGUAGCAAUAAUUAUUUAAAUUUAGACUACACAAACCUAAGCCCAAAUUUUAAAAAAUAAAAAAAUGGUGAUUAGUUCAUACACAUGGGCUGAAAAAAUAUAUCUAGCACCCCUAGUAAGGUGCUACACUAAUCCGAACUAAGUUAACAUUCUAGAUAUUUUAUAAUUAAAUAUUAAUCCAACUAAUUCAAUGAUUUUUUGCAUUACAAUAUAAAUUCACUAAUUUUUAAAUAAUAAAUAAUUAAGAAUUUAUGUGAAAAUAUGUGACAUGUUUGUCAAACUUGUAGAAAUAGAUCUAGGAAGAAAAAAAAGGAGCCUAGGUGUGACAUAGGUUGGGCUCAUAUUGUGAUACUUUCGGGCCAACACCACAGGAGAUGCAAGUGGUGCGAUGUGGACUUUAGGAACGAAAAGUGAUCAUGUUGAAGCAACAUAUGACCGGUGGUUACCUUAACAUGUUAGCUUGUAGGAAAUGCCCGCAUGAGGUCUGCCGAUUGAUGAAAAAGAACUUUGCCAAUUAUAAAACAAGCAAGCAAAGAAAUGCAGAGAAAAAGGCGGAGAUUGAACAUCGGGCAAUUAAGCCACCUUCAUACCACUUGAGGGAUCUGGAGGACUAUGAGGUAUCGGAUCCGGAUGACAUGGAAGAGACGUAAAUUCAAGCGGUUAUACAAGAGAGCUUGAAUGCAUAGAGGCAGAGCUUGUAGGAAAUGCCCGCAUGAGGUCCGUUGCUUUGCUGAUUUUAAGACGAACAAGCAAAAAAGUAUUGAGAAAAGGCAAAGAUGGAACAAUGGGCAACCAAGCCACCCCACACGAGGGAUCCGGAGAACUAUCUCUCACGGUAUGAGGCUGGUGCUAGUUCCUGAUCAGCUAGGGCAGAUCCAUCUGCAAGAGAAACUCAUCAUUAAGAGAGGUCAAUAGAGGCAGCAGCCUAAUUGACUUUAUGUUUCGGACCUUUGACAAUAAGAAGUCUCGAGACAUACUAGCAGGCAAGGAAUGCCGUACCGGCCCGUACCGGUACGGGCCGGUAUGUACCGGUCGGUACGGGCCGGUAUGUACCGGUCGGUACGGGCCUUGACCGGUACCGGUAUGUACCGGUAUGUUCGGUCCUUGACCGGUACCGAAAAUAGAUGAAAAACCGGUAUUUUCCGAUUUUCUUCUGUGAACCGGCCGGUACGGAGCCCGUACCGGCCGGUACCGGCCUCGUACCGGUGCGAACCGGCGGUUCGCACCGGUACGGUGUUUUUUUGGGGGGGGAACCACAGCGCCACGCGCUGUGGUUUUUUAAACCAUCGCAUGGCGCGUGGUUUUAAAAACCACGCGCCCGCGCAUGGUUUUAAGGAAUCUUUCAAAUAAAAAAAAACCAGGUUUUUUUUUUGGGAACCACAGCGCCACGCGCUGUGGUUUUUAAACCACCGCGUGGCGCGUGGUUUUAAGGAAGAAGUGGCCCACGGGCCACUUCUUUCAAAUAAAAAAAAAGACAAGAAGUGGCCNNNNNNNNNNNNNNNNNNNNNNNNNNNNNNNNNNNNNNNNNNNNNNNNNNNNNNNNNNNNNNNNNNNNNNNNNNNNNNNNNNNNNNNNNNNNNNNNNNGAUUUGAGAGAUAGCCCACAAAUUGAGGAGGAGGUCCUGCCCAAAAAAUCCAGCGGAGACUAUUUAAGGUGCGGUUUUUUUGUCCUAUGUUAUUUCAUUAAUUUUGUUAAUAAUUUAUUUAAAAAAAUAAUUUAUAAAUUACUUAAAUAAUAAGAUAAUGAAAAAAUUUACUUUAUUAGCUUAAUUUUUUGAUAAGUUGUCCUUUUAUGAUAGAAAUGGAAGUGGCCGAGAGGCCACUUCUUUUCUGAUGACAGCACCCUCGCUCGUUCGGUUAUAAAAACCGAACGAGAGGCGUUGUUAACUAAAAUCAGGAAUGAGCCUCUGAAGAGUAAUCAGAGACGGAAAGCCAUCAAGAAAAACGAACCCUGCAAAGCGUGAUAUUGGCUGGUCUUAUGGGCGAAGACUUGGAAGUGAGGGGCAAAGACACCAGUUUCAAUGCAAAUUUUGCGACAAGGUUUUCAAGGGAGGAGGGGUAACCAGGUUGAAGCAACACUUAGCCGGAAAUUCCGGUGAGGUUGCUACGUGCCCAAAUUGUCCUAGCGAGAUUCGUGUGCUAAUGAGGCAGAAUCUCGCUGAGGCUAAAAAAGCGAAGGAGAUGGCUUCCAAGAAGAGGGCGGAGGUCGAUCGCCAAGCGGCAGAGCCACCUUCUUAUCACUCUAGGGAGCCAGAGGAGGUCGAAAAUCUAGAUGAGGAGGAGGCAGAUAUUCAGGCGGCAAUGCAUGCAAGCCUGGAUGAUCAGUGGCAGCAGGAGGAGGUGGCCAGGCAUAGGGCUCGAUUUGGGCCCUCUGCAUACGAGUCGGGCGGCGGUUCUAGGAGCACUAGACAAGAUCCAGAGUUCUUGAGGACAACUUCAGUCAGGGAGGGCGUCGGCAAAGAACGUGGCCGGAUUGCAUCUAUGCUGGGUAGUUUCGGUAGUCGAAAGAAGUCAUUUAGAGGAAUUCCACAAAGAGCGACAAUUCAUGAUGUAGAUCCGCAUGCUCUCCCCAGUAGAGAUUCAAGGCAGCAGAGGGUAGACACAAUGUGGAUGAAGGAUAAGAAGAAAACUAUGUGGCGAGCUAUUGGAUCCUGGUUUCACUUCAGCCACAUCCCAGCAAAUGUGGCAGACAAUACAUACUAUAGGUCUGCCAUUGCCGCCAUACAAGCUGCCGGUCCCGGUGUAGCUCCUCCAGGCCUGAAGGACAUAUACGGUGAGCUUCUUGACAACAAUAAGGAGGAGCUGGAGAAUUGGAUUGACUCCUACAAGAGCAAGUGGCCCAUAUAUGGACUAACCAUCAUGUGCGAUGGUUGGACCGGUCCGACCAGGCGGAGCAUCAUCAACUUUCUGACAUACUGUGAUGCUAAGACCUUCCACAAGUCGAUUGAUGCUUCGGCUUAUGUGCACAACACCUCGUACAUGCUGAAACUUAUGGAGGAUGUGAUUGAUCUGGUAGGAGAGGAGAAUGUCGUACAGGUCGUCACUGAUAAUGGACCGCAAUAUAAGGCUGCCGGGCAGGUCUUGAUGGAGCGGCGGCCACAUAUUUUCUGGACCCCAUGUGCUGCACAUUGUAUCGAUCUUAUGUUGAUGGACGUUGGAAAGAUCCGUAGGGUGCAACAAACGGUGGAGACAGCCCAACGCAUUACCAGAUAUAUUUAUAACCAUAACUGGAUCCUUUCAUUGAUGAGAAAGUAUGCAGGGGGAGAGAUUCUGAGACCAGGAGUCACACGAUUUGCUACCAACUUCAUUGCACUUUAUAGCAUACUCGAGAAGAGAGGAGCCCUACGUCAGAUGUUUGCCAGUUCCGAGUGGUAUGAUAGUAGAUAUUCUUAUGCCGGUNNNNNNNNNNNNNNNNNNNNNNNNNNNNNNNNNNNNNNNNNNNNNNNNNNNNNNNNNNNNNNNNNNNNNNNNNNNNNNNNNNNNNNNNNNNNNNNNNNNNNNNNNNNNNNNNNNNNNNNNNNNNNNNNNNNNNNNNNNNNNNNNNNNNNNNNNNNNNNNNNNNNNNNNNNNNNNNNNNNNNNNNNNNNNNNNNNNNNNNNNNNNNNNNNNNNNNNNNNNNNNNNNNNNNNNNNNNNNNNNNNNNNNNNNNNNNNNNNNNNNNNNNNNNNNNNNNNNNNNNNNNNNNNNNNNNNNNNNNNNNNNNNNNNNNNNNNNNNNNNNNNNNNNNNNNNNNNNNNNNNNNNNNNNNNNNNNNNNNNNNNNNNNNNNNNNNNNNNNNNNNNNNNNNNNNNNNNNNNNNNNNNNNNNNNNNNNNNNNNNNNNNNNNNNNNNNNNNNNNNNNNNNNNNNNNNNNNNNNNNNNNNNNNNNNNNNNNNNNNNNNNNNNNNNNNNNNNNNNNNNNNNNNNNNNNNNNNNNNNNNNNNNNNNNNNNNNNNNNNNNNNNNNNNNNNNNNNNNNNNNNNNNNNNNNNNNNNNNNNNNNNNNNNNNNNNNNNNNNNNNNNNNNNNNNNNNNNNNNNNNNNNNNNNNNNNNNNNNNNNNNNNNNNNNNNNNNNNNNNNNNNNNNNNNNNNNNNNNNNNNNNNNNNNNNNNNNNNNNNNNNNNNNNNNNNNNNNNNNNNNNNNNNNNNNNNNNNNNNNNNNNNNNNNNNNNNNNNNNNNNNNNNNNNNNNNNNNNNNNNNNNNNNNNNNNNNNGCAAAAGCGCCUCAACGACCUUGUUUAUGUGCAUUACAAUUUGCGGUUGAGGCUAAAGUGCAUCCAGGAGGAAGUGGAGCUCAAGUAUACAGAUCCGAUUUAUGAGUCCUUCACCGCUGAUGACGAUGAUCCACUACUCGGCUGGCUUGUAGGCCAGCAGCAGGAGCCCGAGCUUGACGAGCCAGGAUCGCCUCCACGACCAGCUACCUUCAUAGCUACCGAAGCUGGGGUCGAUCCAGAGCAAUGGGCUGAGCGCAAUAUUCCACGCACUCCCAGAGCUGAUCAGCCGCAGGCACAGGGGAGCCAGACAAAGAGGGCCAGGAAAGGAAAACAAAGAAUCCUAAUGGAGAGUGUCGAGGAAGAGACUUGGACUAGCAGCAAUGAAGAUUCUGGUGGUGAUGGAUCUUCUAGCCAUUGAGGGAGCGGAGGACAGUAUGGUACUCAUGAGACACAGCCGGAGGGUGGUCUUUAUUUCACCGGUGAGUCCCAAUUUAUGGAUGCUACACAGGAUACGGACCACGGUCGACCACCUGAUAGAUGUCGUGAGGAUAUUAUUGGAUAUAGAAAACGGGCUCCUCGAGGUCGUUCAGGAAGACAGGAUACGACUGUAGAUCUGAUAACAUACGGAUACAGAUUCUAUUAUCCACAGCCUCAGCCUGACGAAUAUGGAUAUGGUGCAUUGGAUUUUGCUUCCGCCAUAUUUGGAUGGGCCCCUACACAAUCAGAGGACACCUCUCAGAGCCAGAGCAUGAGCGAGAGAUCCGACAGUUCUUAUAACCUGGCGCGCGUUCCUUCUGAUUGGGUUGAUCUGCCUCCUCCUGAUUAUACUUAUGAUCCAGAUAUCUACGAGAGCCAUCGGCACUCGUCCCGAUUUUAGAUAUCCUAGAGUACUUUAAAUGUAUAUAAAUGAUUGUAUCUUAAUUUGAAGAUAUUUUAUGUGUAUGAUUUUAUCAUUUGGAACGGGAGGAAAACAUAACAUGCAAUCAUGCAUCAUAUAUGUUUCAAAUUUCAACCCUAAAUUUAAAUAUAAAAACAUCAAAAAUCAUGAAAAAAGCAAUAAAAAAACAUCAAUUUUCACUUAAUUUAAGAUCCAACAGAGACAACAUUUUAAAAAAAUGUCUGGCUCGCGGUACCGGCCGGUACGUACCGGUUCGGACCGGUACCGUACCGGUCCGGCCGGCCACCGGUACGCCAAUCCGGACCGGUACGGCGUACCUUGCUAGCAGGCGUCACCAUUCACGAUGUAAGUCCCCAUGACUUUCCUGGCAAAGAUUCGAAGUAGCAAACAAUUGACAUUAUACUUGUAAAGGGCAAGAUAAAGAACAUGUGAAGAGCUAUUGUAUCGAGGUUUCACUUUAGCCACAUUCUUGCAAAUGUGGCAAACAAGACGUUCUAUCAGCAUGCUAUCAGCUCCAUUUAGAGAGUUGGUCAGUGUGUAAAUCCUCUAGGUGGAGGGACAUGUGGUGAGCUGCUAAAUAAUAAUAAUGAGUUAUAGAAAUGGAUAGCCUUCUCCUAGAGUAAGGACACUUGCAGACUGCCUUUGACAUGUGAUGGUUGAACAAGUCCCAGCAAGUGAAGCAACAUUAAUUUGUUGACAUAUUGUGCAAGGAAAACAUUUUUCUACAAGUCAGUUGACGUUGUAGAUUGGGUGCAUGACACCCAUUACAUCUCCAGCUUGAUGGAGAAAGUUAUGGAUAGAGCCGUAGCAUGUUGUGCAGAUGGUCACGGAUAACAAACCAUAAUCUAAGACCACCAAGGAGAUUCUGAUGAUUAUGUAGCCAUAUAUUUUUUGGAUCCUAUGUGCUGCCCCUUGCAUAGACGCAAUACUACUAGUCAUCGAGAAGAUCCGUAGGAUGAAGCAGAUUGUAAAGACAGACCAAUCCAUUACUAGAUUCAUAUACAACACAUAAUGGUUCUAUCUUUGAUGAGGAAGCAUAACAAAAGUGAGAUAUUGAGACCAACAGUAACCUGCUUUGCUACACAUGAUAUUGCACUUAAUAGCCUCUUCGAAAGGAAGGCAAGACUACAUUAUAUGUUUAUGAGUGCCAAGUGGCAGGAGAGUAGAUAUAUCUGGCCAGAAAGGAAGACAAUCACAUGGACAGCAUAGUCACAAGUCAAAAGUUUUGGUUGCAAGAUGAGAGAAUAGUUAAGGCUAUCUCACCAUUAUAUCAAGUAUUAAAGACCACGGAUGGCAAAAGAUAUCCUUAGAUGGGCUUCCUUUAUCAUAUGAUAAUGGCUGCUAAGACCGAGAUCAAGCAGGCACACCAAAAGCAUAUCAAAAAGUAUAAUGAUGUCAUUAAGCGGAGGUAGGAUUACCAGAUUGGGAGGGAUUUACUUCCAGCAGGGUCAUCAUUUGUUCAUCCUUGUACUUGUUUAUUCUCAUAAAAUAAAAUAAAAGCACACUCACUUUUUAAUUAACUAAAUCAAUUGCAAAAUGUUACCUCAACAUGAAGUUCUAAUACAGCAUCUCAGUAAUGGACAUGGAUGGGAAACUUCUGACUGUCCUAUGCAAUAUGAUCCAUCAGAUGGAGCCUAUCUAGUAGUUCCCAUCGGAUGUUUAGAGGAGGCAAGAAUUUUAAUGGGAUACAGGAUCAUUAGUUUGUCAACUCAAGCACAUCAUUGACAUAUAUGUGUAUUUCAUAGACUCAAGCAUUUAGGGAGGGUUCUCACAACUUUGGCGAAAGGGCAAAUAUGGCAGGCAAAGAUAGCAUGAAUCCAGAUUUUUUUUUUCAGAUAGCGACUGUAACUAAUCUAAUGUUUUAUGAUAAGUAGUAUCUGAUAAGCAAUUUGUUUAUUGCAUUUGCAGCUGAAUGGUGGUCCCGCUUUGGAAAAUCAUACAAAAUCUUAAGGCGAUCAGAUCCUCUCGCAGAUGGUUUCCUCCAAUGGAUGCGAACGCAAUUGGUUUAUCUUUGCUCUGAUCUACAACAAACAGAAGAACCACCUCAAAUGGAAGCACUUGGACAACCUAGUAUAUGCCCAUUGUAAUAUGAGGCUCAAAUUGAAAUGUAUUGAAGUAGUGCUGAAGUACAACGAUCCACUUCACAAUAAUUUUAUAUAUGAUGAGGAUCCAAUGAUUGGUUGGCUUGGAGGCCAACAACGGCCGCCAAAGUUUAUGAUCUAGGAUUACCUUUUCGAUCAACCAAUUUUAUAGCAAUGAAAGCUAGGAUGGAUGCAAAAUAAUGAGCAGAAUGAUGCAUCCCAUGCUCAUGCUGAGCAACCGCAGAAGUUGAGGGGGAGCUGAUCGUUAUCAUAGGGAUCCAUAUCUUAGACAUCCUCCAAGAGAGUUGAUAUAGAGAGACUAAGAAGAGACCACCAUGGUACCCGAUCUGCUCAGGCAAGUAGGACCAGUCAAGGUGGUAGGCCUAGUCAAGCCACCCAGUAGAGCCAGACAAACCGGGGUAUUUAGAGAAAGAAAGUAGUUCCUCAUAUCAGCAAAAAAGGGAAAAGAAAGAAAACUGCAGUUCCAUUGCAGAGAGAGGAUGAGGAGUCUAUUCACUUUGAUUCCGAGAUCAAUGAGCUCUCAGAUGACUAGCUUCCCGGAUCAUCUUGCUAAUGAUGAUGAUACUAAUAUUUCGAGCGAUGAUGCAUGUGGCGACCAAGGAGGAAGCAAUGGACAUGGCACAGGUGCAUACUACUUACAACCCAUUGUAUUCGAUCCACCAAUAAGUCAUAGUACUCUUAUAUCAUACAAGAUAUGGACCACGAAGCACGAUCAAGUAGAGCCCGUGAGAAUACGAUUGCAUAUAAGAGACAAACUUUUUGAGGUGUUUGAGACAUGGCACUACUACUAUAGAUGACCUUGCACGUGUAGUUGGAUACUUGGGCAUAUCUAGAUUUGAGUCACACACUAGAUCUUAUUCCACACAAGGAAGCUAUGACCCACAUGGAAAUCCUUCAUUCAUGUGUCAUAUUCAAGUGCCUAGUAACCUCCACAGUCUUAGGUAGUAUACAUGUCAGAUUUUGCUGCCUCGAUCUUCAGAUGGCCAAUCCAGUAUGAGACAGAGGAUCAGUAUUAGGACGGCUAUCCAAAAGGUGGAGCUUAUAGACCACAGGAAUGGGCAACAAAUUAUCUGAAAAUUGAAGUAAUAUCCCUAACCCAGAUUAUGACCAGGAUUCCAGCAUCUGCGAGAAAUAAGCACUCUACAAAAUUUAGAUAUUGAUACGCAUUUUGUACUUCAAAUCCAUUCUAUUGUACGUAUAUUCAAUUAUAUGUAGUCAUGCAUUCAAUUACGUGACAAUUGCAUUAAUUUAUCAAUUAUAGUAUGUUUGUCGAGACUCAAAACCAGAGGAAAAAGACAUCAAAAUAACAUAGAAAUUAUAAAUUAAACCUCAUGAUUCGAUCAAUGAGAAGGAAGAAUUCUCUUAAUCCGCUCAAACUCGAAUCUGUCAAGAGAAAAUUAGAAAAAAAUGGAGAAAAUGCGAAUGUAGCAUUAUUUCCUCUUUUCUUUCAUCGAUGAUCCACACGCAUAAACUAAGGUACAUCGCUACAAUUUAUAAUAGUAGCGAGGUCCUCUCUUUUAUAAUUUGGAUUGAAUUUCUCUCCUAGUUUGAAUAGGACUAGAUCUCCAAAAAUAAAUGACUAAUAGAAAUAAUUACGAGAAAAAAAUUAGUGCCACUAGAGGUAUUUCUCGAUUUCUACACCAACUUUAUCUUGUCGCUCCAUCUAAUUAUUCACAGAUUGAAAGAUACUCUCAUAUUCUCAAUCAAAAUCUUUUCUGGAAAAGAAACUUUUAAUUUGACCGACCUAUUUCGGAGACCAAAUGAUGAAAUUUUAGUCCAUUUCAACCCUUUAGGGGUUGGCCCUAAUUUAUAAAUCUCGAAAAGUUACCCGAUUUCAAAAAAAAAUCAUCUCAAUCGAAUGUCAUAUGACCUAGUUAUAGCCUCUGGAAGUUUGACUCUAUCUAGCCCUGCUCGUAGUGCCCAAAGUGAUCCGCAUCGAGUUUGAUUCUUCUAGAUCAGACCUCCCCCUAUUUAGGAGAUUUAGUUUCUCUUACAUCAAAACUGAAGAUGGAGAAACGCUUGGUUCCCUGCAUCACUGUUGAACUUCUUGGCUUUGCUCGAAGAUGGUUUUCGACCUUGCUCUCCUUUGCUUCUAGAUCCCAGCGAACCACUUACCAUGCAUUCGCAUCUAGACCACAAACUAAGGCCCCCAUAGAUGUAGAAGACCGAAGGUCUGAUACUAACUUGAUUCGAUCCGGAAGAAGGAAGAAUUCUCUCAAUGACUCAACUUGAAUUUCUCAAAAUAAAUAAAAAAAAGAUGGACAAAUUACAAAAGUAGAGUUUACAUCUACUUUUCUUUCAUUGAUGGUCCACACUCAUAAACUAAGGUACAUAGCCCCUAUUUAUAAUAGUAGCGAGGUCCUCCUUUUCACAAUUCGGGUUAGAUUCUUCUACUGGUCGAAUAAAACUAAAUCUAUUAAAAACAAAUAAGAAUAAUAGAAAUAAUUAUAAAAAAAUAAAUUAUAUAAAAAUUGGAUCUCAACUUCUAUAUCAACUUUGCCUUAUGUCGUUCCACCUAAUUCUUCACGAAGUAGAAGAUAUGCUCGAUCGGUCUUUCUCGAAAAGAAAACUUUUAGUUUGAUAGACCUGUUUGAAAGACCAAACAAUAGAACUUCAGCCCAUUCACCUUCUUGGAGGUUGGCCCUAGGUUAUAGAUCCCAAAAAGUUAUCCCAUUUUCUUUUAAAAAAAAUAAUCGGACGUCAUAUGACCCAGCUAUGGCCUCUAGGAGUUUGGCUUGCAAUUUCGCUUUCUAAUAUGGUAGAUCUUGCUCCUGAACCCCAUCCAACCCUACUCGUAGUGGUCAAAGCGAUCCACAUCGAGUCUGACGAUCCUCCUGGAACAACCGCAACCAUUAAAAUAAACUCUAAAACAAUGAAAAAGUGAAACAACAAGAAAAUGAAAAAACAAGAAAAAUAAACAAAAAUGGUGCACUUGUAUGGAACUAGUAUGCCAAUACACACCAUAUUUUGAUAUGAUACCGGACUGAUAUCAUACCACACCAGUUGCCGACCGAUACGACAUUCGGUACUGGUUUGGCAGAUCUUGUAUGGGAUACUCCCCACAUUAGUGAAAGGUUAUUUUAUAGGGGGUAGAGGAAAGUUCUAAGAACAUGCAUGCCAAAACCACACAAUCUGGAUGGAAUAUGGCAACCAGACUCCUAAAACAUGAUUUCUGACAAACCUAAUGUUUUUGGAGAUUGUGUAAUCCCAAUCUCCCCUACACACCAUUUCCCACUCAUCUCUUUCUGCACUAUCAUGUGUGCCCUUCCUACUUCUCUCUUUCUUCUCUUCCUAUUCUUCUUCCUCUACUUCUAUUCUUUGCUCUUUUCUGUUAUUUUCUUCCUUUUCACUAUUACCACAUACUCCUAGAAGGGCUCUCUUCGUGCUGAAUUUCUAUUUCACAUUCUAUCUGCAUGGUGUAUUUAUCUAUUUAAAAGCAUGAAAGGUCUGAUGUUGAGAGCUAAAGCAGAGAAUUCACAUUCUAACUACAUGCAGAUUUUUGCACAGUAUUUGGUCAUGAAGCAUGAACAGCCAAGAAAACAAAUCAUAAGUUGAUUAGAAUUUCUCAGUAUUUUACAUAAAUGUCACUCACAAGGUAGCGAAUGAUAAAGCCAAAUGCCAGUUGGUUGCAUCAAGGCCUCGAGAUUAAGUAUCAGUGCUAAAACAAGCUUAUGUAGAGUCUUCAAAUAUAGACAAUCCAACCAUAAUCAGGACUGUUACAACCACCAAAAAAGAAAGAUGGUCAAUUUGAGGUAUCCUUGAAAACUGUUGGUAGUAAACACUUGCACCCAUCGGGCUUCCUGGGGAAGUCAAGUUUGUCCAGGUGUGCCGAAAAAUGACAGCAACUUUUUGAGCCAAGCCCUCAAAGAUAAUAUAAUGGGAUUACGUAAUCUGCAUUGACAUCAUUGAUUUUAGUCCUGCGGUAGCAUUCACUCUUUAAAGACUACAAAAGAAAUUGUAACAAUCAUUGAAAUCUUUCCAGACCAGACUAGAAGCCAGAAAAUUAUAGAUAUCUUAAGUACUGAGUGGGUAGGGCAUUCUGCCACAUGUAUGGUAAAAUCAGAAAUCUAUAUUUUGAAAAGCUUCAAAAAAAAUGUUUUACCUGUUCCAUGAGGCAUUGCUGUACAUGUUCAACUUCUCAAAAAAGGCGAGUGUGUAGAAAGUGAACCAAUCUACAACAGAUACACCAAUCUACAAUAUAUGAAGGAAACAUUUCCAAUAAAAGUUAUUCAAACUCAGGUGGCAAGGAUGAAACUGGAAUGUGCAAGAUGCUGCAGCAAUCUUAAGGUCUGUAGCAAUGCCAGCAUAGAAUUCUCAUGCAAGGAUAAACAGCAUUAGAAGACCUGGUCUUACAUCUGAGUCAAGAUGGUGAGAGUAGGAUUUUUCCCCUUUCUUGCUACUUCCAAUUGUCAAAACACCAGGAGACUGAAACUGCAGAUUCCAAAGAUGGUGACAGAAAAUCUUAAACUAGCUGAUUCAAAUCCAACUGACAAGAUUAUAUUUUCCAAAAUUCUAGAUGACUUAACUGACAUUUAACAGAUUAAUAGAACAAUCCUAACUUUCAUCAAAGAUAGAAUUGUUAAUUUAUUUAAUCAUCAGAUGAAAAACUAUCGAUGUUCAACUAAAUUCCUAGCCUUUUCCAAUCACAAAUAUUAAUAAAAUCAGCAACUCAAUAAAUAUAAGGAAAAAUUCAGCCACACUUUAGCAAGGUACUCCGUAAUUUUCUAAGGAAAAAAUGAGUAUUGCUUUUCAAAUGAUUGUGUGCUCAUAGGCCUAAUCAAAUCAUGAUAGACAUGUAAAAUUUCCAUCGUGAGCUCGAUAUGCAUCCCUCGGUCCCACUUUCCAUCAUGCAUUGCCAUGUCUUGAUCAUAUCAAUAUCGCCUUUUUUAUUUAGUGUAAUUUUAAAGUGAUUGUGAGUAGGUGCAAUCCCUUCCAUGGGAUGGAUUCCCUUCAAUCAACUUAGUUGAGAGCAAGAUAUGCUAUCUCAGUAUUAGGCUCUGUACCAGUGCCAUCCUAUUACUAUGUCAGUACGCCCAGCAUAGAGGCUGGGUCGGCGUACCGAGUGUCAGUAUGCCUCCCGUCCCGUAUACCGAUACUGAACCGGUAUGGUACGCCCCGUGCUAUUCGGAUCGGUAUAAUAUGGCAUACCUUAGUUGAGAGCACAAACAUUGGGCCCCUGCAAAGUCAAGGGUCUAACCACAAAAAAAGCACUUGGAUGUACAUUCUCAAGCCAUAGCCUGAGAUUCUUACUUAAUUCAUCGCAGUCAGGUGCGAUGCAUUUGCCCCCCAUUAGUAAAGUGCCCCUCUUCCUAUUUAGGACUUGCUUGGUUUGUGGAAAGAAUUUUACUUCACUGGAAUGUGUUUCCUAAGAAGCUAAUGCCUAGGUACAUUAUAUCUGAGAACAUGGUUCGUCGUACCGACCCAAACUGAGCGGUACGGAGUGUACCAUAUCGUACUGGUUCGGUAGCGGUACCCGAUACAGGUGGCGUACUGAUACUUGGUAUGCCGAAAAGACUCCGUACCGUACCGUACCGUACCAACAGUGCUAGUGUGGCAUCGUACGAGAUCUGAUACUGAGACGGCAAACCUUGCCUGAAAAAGUGAUUUUGACAUGUUUGGUUGACCAUAGAAAAGUGGUAUAGAAAGCACACUUCCGGAGUGACUUAUGUUUAAUUGAGCAUCUACUUUUCUAAAAAAGUUGUAUAAAAUACUUUUUGUCCUUAAUAAACUGACUACAAUGAGAAAAAAGGAAAUAAGCCACUAGGGUUUAGAGCAUUUCUAGAAAAAAAAGGAUUUUACCUCGAUUCCCAAUGCAUAGGAAAAUGAGUUUCCCAUGUCCCGCAUAGGUUUAUAUUUUCUAUAGGAGAAAGGAAGCUUGCUCCCAUGAAAAGGCUACUUUUCCAUCUCUCUACUUUGAAACCUCCAACCAAACAUAAGCCAUUUUGUCAUUUUUCCGUUGACCACAUUUAGGGGGUUGAGGUGAGAAAUAGCUUUACGAACUGUCCAUUCACCACGCACCAGCCCCAUUCACUUGCAACUCGUAGAAGUUGUAAAUACACGAGGCCCCACAACUAUCAAAGUAAUGUGGGGCUGAAACACGAGAGUGCCUACCUCUAGGCUGAGAGCGGCUGCAUGCUGCCCAUUCUGUCAAGUAGGCUACUUUUUCUGGAACAUAGUCUGGAAUAACCAUGCCCAUGCUAUAAAUAUCUUUGGUACUGCCAUUUUGAAAUGGUUGUUACUAGCAAAGCCGAUUCUUGGGCACGCAUAAUCACGUAUGUAAGCAAGCCAAUUGCUUCAAUAGAGUACAUUGAUCUAGAUACAUACAAAAAUGAGAGACCAAGUGCUAGCAAAGACAGAUUUAUAGCCCACGGUAACAAGAGAAACAUACCCCUAGCCGGAUCCAUUCCUAGACUCUCGUGAGUGUGAUUCAACAGAGUCUUCUGCUUGUGAUCGAUAGAAUAAUGAAUACGUCCCACGUGCUCAAGAGGCAGAUCCAAGGUUAGUAGCUUACCUAGGAGCAUACUUCGGUGUAGCAUACAUAGCAGCAAAUUAUGCAAUAAACAAUUUCAAGUUCCAUCAAAUCCCCUCAACAUUCGAAGAUUAAUCUGUAUAUUCUCAUUUGCACCAGUUCUAGAAAACUUUCCUAUAAGAUUCACCAAUCAAGAGACAAUUAUAAAGUAUCAUCAAACCAACAAACUGGUCAAGCUCCAAUAAAACAAUCUUGUAUACAUACCAUCCAAGCCAUGUCCUUAAGAAUGGUAUCUACACCCCACUAUUGGGAGAAUUUUGUAGAGGUUCUAAAUUCUAAUAGAAUUUCCAAUUUUCACAAAAUGCAUUCACUUUGAUACAUAGCUUGGAGGGAAAAGGAUGGGAGAUUAUCACAUAUAUUACCGCUCAUUUACCCUAAGGCCCUAUUUGCUUGAGAACACUCAAGACAGCGUGGAGCAAACUAGAAUAAAUCCUCAUCUUGCUUUAUCCUAGCAAAUUUGCUCCAGAAUAAAGAAAACUGGUGGAGGGUAGGGGAGCAUCCAAAAAAAUUUGAAAAUAAUCACUAAACCUAGAUUGGUAAAAUAGAUCUAUUUAGGAUUACCCUCCAUUUUUGCAUGGCCUAAAUGUGGAUAUCCUAAUUUAAAAUACAAUCAAGCCAAAGACAUAUUAAAAAGAAAUGGUAAAAAGGGUAUCCAAUGGAUGAGGCUCCUGCCAUUGUAAGGUCUAAGAAGGUCAAAUGUAUACAGCCUUACCCCCGAAUGUGAAUAGGCUAUUUCUGUAUUUUGAACCCGUGACACCCAAGUCCCCCAGGUCACAAUGGAUCAACCUCAUAAAAAGAAAUGGUGGCUAAAUUAAAAUAUAAUCAAGCUAAAGACACAUCCAAAAGACAUGGUAAUUAAACAAUCUUUCAAAUUUCAAGGUUUUUCUCCUUUGCCACGUUCCAGUGGAGAUAGUUACCCUAUUUAAGCAAUGCCACACUUGGUUGCUUGGGCAUUAGUUGUAGCAAAGCUAAUAUUGAGAGGAAAUGGGUGUUAAUAGUGAAAAUGGAAGACCUAUAGUGGAUAGUAGGGUUGUUUUCGGGGUAUCGUGGGCAUUUUGAUGUCUCAUUGAUGGAGUCAUAGGAGAUUGGCUAGCAGCUUGACGAAGGUCCACAUAGAUUGGAUAGCAAUAAAGAAGCAACCUUACCAUUGACAGAAAUUGCACAAUGCUGUCAAUUAACCGGUAAUUGAUGCCACAAAAUAAUCGUAUGUCUUAACAAGUAGCUGGUGGUUAUCAAUAACAAAUUUGACAAACUCUGAGGAAAUCUUUUCCACUUAUGUGAACUUGCAAUUAGUUCUGCAUCCAUAUUCUGAUUAGAUUGAAACAGUAUAGUGUUCAAAUAUAUUGAUGAGGAAUAUAAAAAAUAAAAUAAAUAUUUUUUAUACACAUCUAAAAUUGAAAAUGUGAGGGCUGAUGCCCACGCAUGCCUUCUUUAAAGAUACCAAAUUUUGUGCUUCAAAUGGUAUGUUUGUGGCAGCAAAGGUGCAAUAGGCCAGUAAUAACUGCACAUCUCCUCAUGAGCAAAAUUUAUACUGAUAACUGACAGAAAAAAAGAAAAAAGGCAAUUCCAUGAGCAUGUCAUGGUAAGGAGUGGAGCAUGAGAAGCAUAGAUAUUCAUUGUGAAAAUACAGUCCAACUAUCUGAAACAUCGCCUCAAGCAACUUAAUUUUGUCUGAGAAUCUUUUAAACUUACAUGACAAGAGCAGGACCUUCGUGUAAAAUUUACAAGGCGAUGCAUGCAAAUCAGGUUUAACCAUCAAACUGAAGGCAACAUAACACCAAAUAACAAAGCAAUAAGAGCAGAAUGGUAAACAUAAAUAAUGGCGCCAACCACAAAGUCAUAGAUGAUUCAAAGUAAGCAAUGUUUAUUAUAUAUGACCAUAAUUUCAGGUAGACAGACAUAGCAAUAGUAGUUUUUUUCCAUAAUAUUAAGGCGCAAGAGCAUGCACAAUUAAAAAUCUGACACUGAAUAAUUGACUAGCUGGGGCUGAUGCAUGUCAGUUAUAGACAAACCAUUUGCAAAAACAGGAUAUGGUAGGACCAUCGCAUAAACGAUCCUUUCCCUUUUCUUCCAAGUCUAGUCCCUAACCACAACAUUAGUGAAAGACUGAAAUGUCUGAAGACUAGCAGACAUAUAAUAAGCACAUGGUGAGAUAUGGACAGAAACUGAGAAAACAAGGAGAACAUGAAUAACAUCAACACCCAGAAUGAGGCUAGAGUGGAACUCAUAUUCCAAUAGUACUAAAAAUUAGAUUAUUGCUGAACGCACAUUAUCCCCAGCCUAAUCAUUCACAAUAUAAUUUUCCUUUAUAUUUGAAUGAACUUCUGAGUUCUGAGUAAUCCCUCAUCCAUCCUGGCCCCAUUUGCCCAACCUCGCCUCUUAUUACUCCAUAUUCGCAGAUAAAAGAUUAAUAAAAACUUACCACCUUGAGAAUAUUACCCUUUCUUAAUAUGCACAAACAAGCAAUUUCCUGAAUAUGUUAUAUCUCUUUCAGAAAAGCUAUGGUUCCAAAUUUAUCUUUUGCCAUUAUCUCCUCUACAGUCUCGCAUCUCUUCCCACAAACCCUCUUGUUCUUAGUUGUUUGUCAAUGAACAUUAAAAAGCAUCAGGUGAAACAUAUUUCCUGCCAGUUAAAGUGAAAACCGCUAAUAUCCUCUAAACCCUAAAAAAGCCUCGUCACUACAAUCUUCCCAGACUCUUGCAAUAAAGAGGAGCGGUUAUGGAGCAUAAUUCUAAAUCAAAGAGGCUCAUGUAUAGAUGGAGCAUAUUUUUCAUCAACUAGCCAUCUACCUCGUGUCAACUGUCUAAGACUUUGCAAUGCUUUUAUGGCCAAGAAGAUUUUGAACAACACAAACCAACCUGCCAUGGAACCUAGUGCAACGGCUGGCAAAUAGGGAAACCGAACUUACUGUUCUCACCGAACUCAUCGAACCAAGGAGCAAUCUCCCUGAACUUCCUUAUAUUUUGAAAGUUGUCUGGAUGAAGAAAGAAGAUGAAAAGACCGCCUCCACUGGAUUCGAUCCUUAACGAGACUGCGUAUUAAAAUCAUGAUUCAACCCUAUCUCGACCGACAAGUAUGGGGCAUCUUCAAAGACGGCAUGGAAAUCAAGACCUAACAAGACUGCCCGUUGAAUUCAAGAUUCGACCUUUUCUUGAAAAGUGGCAACCUAAACAAUUCGCUGAUACAAGGCUUCUUCAAAGACGACAUUGAAAUCAAAACCUAAGAAGACUGCCCAAUGAAAUCAAGAUUCACCCCUUUUCUUGGCAGCCGAACCCAUGGUCAAUAAUUCGUUAGGGUACAGGAAGGAAACAUUCAAAAUACCACACACCCGACACUACACAAGCCCAGGAAAAAAAGAGAAGAAAAGAAAAGGAGAAAGAAGAAUCAAGAAACUCUUCUUGCACCGACAAAGCAAAGAAUUAGGUAGAUACAUAAAUGUGGGUUACCAGAAACGGGAGGUGCAAACCAAGACGGCCCAGUUCUUGUUGUGCAUCAUGGAGGACCGAACGGGAAGGAGAACCGCAAGCAAGAGGGAGAAGAAUAGCAGGAGGAGAAGGAUCCGAUGAAACGCCGAAGGAUGCCGCCGCUCCAAUUGAAGCGCGCGGGUCUCGAACGCCGUCACCAUUCCUCCCGCCUCUUCUUGGAGGGGUUUCCUGGAUGGACGGCGACGAGAGAUGCGACGGAGUGGAAGGGAGCUGGGGGUACCGCGGCNNNNNNNNNNNNNNNNNNNNCAAAACGAAACGGAGGAGGAGGAAGGGGGGUGUAUUGAGAAAAUUUCAAGGGCAAUAUGGUAAUUACACUAAAGGUUAGUUUGGGUAUUUUUUUUUUGGUUUUUUGGGGGGUGUCCUUAGCAAUAGGGGGGGUGUAUAUAGAACCCCCCUAAUAAGACCAUGAGGGCCAGAGCCAGACGAUGUUGUAAUACGGGGUUUGGUGCACCGGGUCUCGGGUCCGGGAAUGUUGAACCCGAGUACAAACAAGCGCGACGGCGGUUCCCGGGCAGCGUGGAUUUCAAUUUGGCCGUCAGCGAGGGACGCCUCUCCGCUGAAACAGACCGGGCCGCACCGCUGGUAGUUCUCACGUUGGCCCAUAGGCCAUAGGUACGGGCCCCGAAUCCGCCGAGCUGGAAGCAAAAUAGCAAAUGCCACUUCUUAAAAGGCUAUUAAAAUAAUAAUGGUGUUUUAGAAAAAUAAAAAAAAAAUUUUGAGGAGUAGAAAGUUGAUUGAAAAAAUAUUGGCCACCUCGAGUUCGGGCGAGACCUACCAUAUUGACCUUGGAAUGUCAGAAUAAUUUUAGAGAUUAUGUAACAACCUGCAUCACUCAUAAUAUUUUUGUUUAUCAGUCUGGUUCUGUGUGAACCUUGAUUAGUUUUCUUUGUUAGUAUAAUCUUGUUAGAGUGAUUUUAGAGAUCACAUGACAACCUGUAUUAUCUAUGAUAUUUUCUAUUGUUAGUGAGAUCCUAUAUCAACCUAUAUUAUUUUUCAUAUAUGGAGUCUGUACACGAGUAUAUAUAACUCUUGAGAUAUACUGAAUAUGCAAGUAUAGAGAAAUAAAAUCGUUUUUCUCUCUUUUUUUCUUUUGUUUUUCUCUUCUUCUCCAAAUAUUUCAACGGGUUGGUUUCUAAAUUUGAGUAGAAUGAAACAUCCCACCUAUUGAUGCUCUAUUUGAAGGGACCGUUGGCGUCUGUUUAGUAUGGCAGAAGGAGAGAGUAACACGUUGGUGUCUCCUUUAGCAUGGCACGAGAAUAUAUAUAUAUAUAGAGAGAGAGAGAGAGGAAAAUCUUUUUAUAUAGCUCAAUUUUUUAAUUAAAUAUUUUCUUACUCUCUCUCUUAAUUGUUACAAGCAAUUACUUAAAAAGUAAAUGUACCGGCGAAAGUUGAAGCGUUCAUAUAUCUUGCCUUGAAAAAUAGAUUGGACAUUGGAGAGGUCCUUGCCACUAAAAAAAAGUUGGAUGGUGAAUUGAGGCUUGGGGGUUGAAAUAACAACUGGCCUUUUCAUAAAAUGUCCGUUUAGUAGAAGCAUUUGGUCCUCUUUGCUCUCAUGCCUAAAUUUGAAUAGAUUCACACCCGGAUCUUCAUAUUCUUUGGAUAGUAUGGAGAUUCAAGGAAAUCAAUGUGCCGCUAAGGAAAUCUUGCAUCAACUUCUUAUAGCACUAAGUUUGUGAAUUUUCGUUAGAAGAAAAUAUUCAUCAACCACCAUUUCGCAUAAACUCUCCAAUCGCUCCAUCCCUAGCAAAACUUAUGCUCGGACAUGUUGCUAAACAACCAUAGCUCCAUCUCGAAAUUCUUGUUGCCAACAAUGUAGAUUGAUCCUCUAGGACUCUCUUAUAUCUCUCCCUUUUAUGUCUCUCUUUCACUAGUAACUACCACCACAAAUUGUAUUUAUUCCUUUCUCUAUUUUAAUAAAGCUAGGGGAAGUGUCUUACUUCAUCUGCUACCGUAAGACAAAUUUCAAAACUUCUAAUCAAAUCAUGCAAAGAAGAAAAAUAGGUGGCCCAACACUAUGGCUUUCAUUCACGUUUUCCUUCUGAAUUAUGUGAACCAAUAUCUUCUUUUUUCUCUAUUCAAAAGGCAAGUGCUUUCUGACCCCAAGGGAUCCUCCGGAGAUCUAAAUGCUGACCAACCAAGGUGUCUUUGCCAGCUAACAAUGGAGGUCGAAUCUAGUGGUAUCAUUAUUGCCACCUUUAUCAAGUGUAAGAGAUCUGAUACCGCUUAAAGACAUCACCAUACCGGUCUAGGAUGGAGAUAUUUAAUGAUCAUGCCAUUUUGUUUGCUUGCAUAUUUUCUUCAUGCAUAACUGCUAUUAGUGAUGUGCAAAUCUAUAUCACCAAAAGACCGAUUACUGUCUCCAUCAUGCUUCCAAACCCAAACCCUCCUAUAACUUGAUUAGAGGCUACAGAUUUGUUUUCUAUAUAUAAAAAUCCAGCAAUUACUUUCUGGAUUGUAAUAAAGAAUUUUUUUUCCCUAUUGGAAAUCAUCAUAUGGUCAUUCUUUUUUUUAUAAUAAUGUUUAAAAUGAGAACAAGAACUAUUUUAUCUUAUCCAUAUGCCAUUAAUCCAAACAAAAUGAUGUACCUUUGAAUUCAAACAGUUUGUCUUUCUAGAUAAGGAAAUCUAACGCGACAAAAGAGCGGCCCUAGACACAAGUAUCUUUUAAGAUUCUGAUCAUUGAUUGCCUUGCAGAGUCCCGAUCAUCAACAUGUUUUUCAUGAGAUCUAAAGAAUUGGCUGCCAAUCAAGUGGACAAAUAGUGAGUUUGUAAAGAUUAUGAAUCACCAAUACGCGGAAGACACAACCCUAAUUGGCCAUUUGGUGGAGUAAGAAUAGGUAUAAUGACUAAAUGCACACUGUAUCAAAAUUGACCAAAAAAUCACACCAAAGACUAAAUAUAUAGGAAUGACAGAGAGAGCGUAAAUAUAAAAUAGGCCGAAUGAAGAUACAACAAGGUACUAAGGCCCUGUUUGAGGGAGUUGUUGGCAGUAGAGCUGUUGGAAGUAGAGCUGUNNNNNNNNNNNNNNNNNNNNNNNNNNNNNNNNNNNNNNNNNNNNNNNNNNNNNNNNNNNNNNNNNNNNNNNNNNNNNNNNNNNNNNNNNNNNNNNNNNNNNNNNNNNNNNNNNNNNNNNNNNNNNNNNNNNNNNNNNNNNNNNNNNNNNNNNNNNNNNNNNNNNNNNNNNNNNNNNNNNNNNNNNNNNNNNNNNNNNNNNNNNNNNNNNNNNNNNNNNNNNNNNNNNNNNNNNNNNNNNNNNNNNNNNNNNNNNNNNNNNNNNNNNNNNNNNNNNNNNNNNNNNNNNNNNNNNNNNNNNNNNNNNNNNNNNNNNNNNNNNNNNNNNNNNNNNNNNNNNNNNNNNNNNNNNNNNNNNNNNNNNNNNNNNNNNNNNNNNNNNNNNNNNNNNNNNNNNNNNNNNNNNNNNNNNNNNNNNNNNNNNNNNNNNNNNNNNNNNNNNNNNNNNNNNNNNNNNNNNNNNNNNNNNNNNNNNNNNNNNNNNNNNNNNNNNNNNNNNNNNNNNNNNNNNNNNNNNNNNNNNNNNNNNNNNNNNNNNNNNNNNNNNNNNNNNNNNNNNNNNNNNNNNNNNNNNNNNNNNNNNNNNNNNNNNNNNNNNNNNNNNNNNNNNNNNNNNNNNNNNNNNNNNNNNNNNNNNNNNNNNNNNNNNNNNNNNNNNNNNNNNNNNNNNNNNNNNNNNNNNNNNNNNNNNNNNNNNNNNNNNNNNNNNNNNNNNNNNNNNNNNNNNNNNNNNNNNNNNNNNNNNNNNNNNNNNNNNNNNNNNNNNNNNNNNNNNNNNNNNNNNNNNNNNNNNNNNNNNNNNNNNNNNNNNNNNNNNNNNNNNNNNNNNNNNNNNNNNNNNNNNNNNNNNNNNNNNNNNNNNNNNNNNNNNNNNNNNNNNNNNNNNNNNNNNNNNNNNNNNNNNNNNNNNNNNNNNNNNNNNNNNNNNNNNNNNNNNNNNNNNNNNNNNNNNNNNNNNNNNNNNNNNNNNNNNNNNNNNNNNNNNNNNNNNNNNNNNNNNNNNNNNNNNNNNNNNNNNNNNNNNNNNNNNNNNNNNNNNNNNNNNNNNNNNNNNNNNNNNNNNNNNNNNNNNNNNNNNNNNNNNNNNNNNNNNNNNNNNNNNNNNNNNNNNNNNNNNNNNNNNNNNNNNNNNNNNNNNNNNNNNNNNNNNNNNNNNNNNNNNNNNNNNNNNNNNNNNNNNNNNNNNNNNNNNNNNNNNNNNNNNNNNNNNNNNNNNNNNNNNNNNNNNNNNNNNNNNNNNNNNNNNNNNNNNNNNNNNNNNNNNNNNNNNNNNNNNNNNNNNNNNNNNNNNNNNNNNNNNNNNNNNNNNNNNNNNNNNNNNNNNNNNNNNNNNNNNNNNNNNNNNNNNNNNNNNNNNNNNNNNNNNNNNNNNNNNNNNNNNNNNNNNNNNNNNNNNNNNNNNNNNNNNNNNNNNNNNNNNNNNNNNNNNNNNNNNNNNNNNNNNNNNNNNNNNNNNNNNNNNNNNNNNNNNNNNNNNNNNNNNNNNNNNNNNNNNNNNNNNNNNNNNNNNNNNNNNNNNNNNNNNNNNNNNNNNNNNNNNNNNNNNNNNNNNNNNNNNNNNNNNNNNNNNNNNNNNNNNNNNNNNNNNNNNNNNNNNNNNNNNNNNNNNNNNNNNNNNNNNNNNNNNNNNNNNNNNNNNNNNNNNNNNNNNNNNNNNNNNNNNNNNNNNNNNNNNNNNNNNNNNNNNNNNNNNNNNNNNNNNNNNNNNNNNNNNNNNCAAAAAUACAGCUUUCCGAAAAAGCUGAAACAGCUUCCUCCCAAAAGCUCCAAAUUGGAGCUUCCUCCCGAAAGCUAUUUUCAGCUUCCCGCAAAAGCUGAAACAGCUUUUCGAAAAAUUUACCAAACAUAGUUUUUCAUCUAAAAGUACUUUUAGAGGGUCAGAAAGUGCUUUCUCGCCCUCCAAAAGCUCCCCAAACAGGGCCUAAGUAUAAUUGCCGAUUUGACAAGCAGUACAGGGCUGGGCUACUUUGACGGAUGUACAUAGUGGAAGGACGGCCAAUGUUAGUUACUAAAAUCAUUAGAAGUGGAGGCGAGACGUAGAUAGAAAACAUCAGAGUGGGAAGCAAAACACUAGCAUAUGAUUAAGCUGCCAAAGUUGAAAAACUAGAACUUGGCUAUAUCCUCAAAACAUUAGAUAUGGUUGCGAUCCAGCAAGAAAUCUAUGUUUUUUGCGGAGAAAGCGAGGCAACGAGAACCACAAUGCAAGUUGCUGAAGAUACAUUGAAACACAUGCUUAAUUUUACCUAAGCCAAGGCCGAGGCUGGAAGACUUUUUGCUUCCCAAGGCAACAAAAGAUCGAAAAUUCUCCAAGCAGAUAACCUACCAUCGUACAAACGACAAGCAGAGACCCAUCAGCAAAAUCUAGCUACAGCAAAAACCCUAGCUAGCCCUAGCCAUCAAUUUCAAAUUUCAAGAUCCCUUGGAACCUUGGCACACAAAGAUAUGCAGGUCCCCAUCUGUGCUCCCGUGAGCAAUCCACCCGCUGGAUGGCUGGAGUAGCGUGCGCCGACCACCAGCCAGAAAACCGGAUGGAUUAAGGGGUUAGGUUGGAAAAGGGGACGACCACUGAAAACUCUCCGCCAAGGCUCCCACGGGAAAAGAAGCUCCAUAUUGUGGGCGAUCAUUACACCAGCAAACAAGGCUCGUGUGCUGACGUGUGAGGCCACUAUUAGGUGCUCAUCAUCUUCCCCUCGGUCUCUGGUCUCUGCAGCGCUAGAUUCGGGUCUAUUUCUUUCUCUGUAGGAUGCGAUGGGCGCAUCGGGUUUGGAGAUUUAGGCUCCAAUCCCUACAAAGAUCUUACGUAUCUGCUGUCGCCGUCCACCUUCUCAUGAGAUCUUUUGAAAAGGGACGGCACGAUGUCGCUUCCAAGACCGCAACGGCGUCAGCUCCCAUGCACGACGCUAUCUCGGCGUCAUCCAUGCAACGGGCACGGGUUGGAUGGACGGCCGGAGGGCAGAUUUAUGGGUGCCAACGCCAGCGUCGCUAUUGGCUCGACGGCUCGAUCGGGCGCACAUGGAUGAUGGAUUUGUUGCUUUAUUAUUAUUAUUUUUUCUUUUCUUUUUAGUUUAGUGUGGCCUCACAAGUUUGAGAAGAGUUGGAAAAUCCAAACCUGCUUUCAUCACGAGCGCUUGAAUAAAGUACUUAUAUUUUGCAUGCAGAAAUGAAUUACAAAAUUGAUGCACAUAUUUUCUAAUUUAAAGUACCAAAAGACGCAUCCUUAACUACAUUAUUAGAAGGCCAGCAUAUUUUAGGUUCCUUUCUAGCUCUAGCUUCGUUCAUGCCUAUCACGAACUGCAAUGAUAAUCAUGAAAUGGAUCCUAGGGAUUAGCCAUUAUUGUACAAAUCAUACAUUCCACUUUUUGUUUUUUAUAUUCAUGCAAAUCAUCUUCAACGCUAAAUUAACAUAGGUCUAGAUAUCUUUGAUAGAUUAGGGUUAGAGAACAACAUAAUCUCCUUUAAAGAUCGAAUAACAUAUUUUGCUAAUAACAAGGCAACCCCCUAGUUCUGAACCUAUUCUUUCAAGUUUGCUUGCGAAGGGCCAUGCUGGUUUAGUAUUUUUUUUUUUAAUGAAGCACGAGAAAUAAUUGAGAUCAUGGAAACAAAGUGUUUCGGCCUCUCAAGAGGAUAUAGUUCAUGAUCAUUUGACGGUGCUUGUUUAGCAUUAUUAGCGCAUUCGAGAGUACAAAAUGCAAAGAAAUCCUAUGUUAAAGCUCAAAAUUUCUACAACUCUAUGCGCUCCUAUUGAAUUCUCUCUCAAGAUUCUCUAGCAUUCUUUUCUUAAUUCCAGAAAAUAAUCUUGAUUUUUUCACCCAAACAGAAGAUGAAUCUUGCUUAUUCAUUUAUCCUUUCGACACUCACCAUACUUUUCUCUCAAAAAUAGUCUUCAAUAACUAAGCUGGAAGCUUAACUCCAUCUACAAGUGGUAUAACAGUGGCCUAGGGGAUAAGUAAUUGGUUUCUCUACUUGAUUUCUUCGGCAGCCGUAGGUCUCUAGGGUUUCAUCGCAUAAGGUAUCGAUAAAGACACUUCUAAGAGACGAACUUGCUUUCAUGUCUCUCUUUAUAAAGCAUACCUAAAGAAACAUGCAGAAAGAAAGAGCACAUCCUUACUUGUUUUAUUAAUUAUUUCUAGUGCCCUGCACGAGACCUGUGCUUUUAUAUCUUGUCAGCCAGCUCACAUUUUAGGCCACAGAAUGUCACGUAAUGUACUGUUCGUUCAUCACAAUCCAAGACGCUUGUCCUGUGAGAUCCCAGCACGUAGUUACACCCAAUUGCCUUUCCAAGGCUCGGCACUUUUGAUUCCCAGCGCUGAAGAGUGGAUUCUGUGUCGUUGGGAUUGCUCUGCAGCUGGGAUUGAUUUCGUUUGUUCAAGCCACAUGCAAGUCCUGACCACUUGCACCCUAGCCUAUUUAUGGUGACCCAUCACCCAUAUUAUUAGUAUAAUUUUAAAAAUUAUAUAAUAAUUUAUAUCAAUUUAAUAUUUUCUUAUUCAUACAAUUUUAUAUUGAUCAAUAUUAUAUUUUAUUAGUAUGAUCUUAUUUGAGUGAUUUCAAUAAUCGCAUAACAACUUAUAUCAGCGAGUAAUAUUUUUCUUUGUUAGCAUUAUCCUAUAUCAGCUUAUGUUAUUUUUCUUAUAUAGAGUUUGUACACAAAUAUAUAUAAGCCCUAAAAUACAUCGAGUGAGAUGGAAUGAAAACAAAUAAAAUUAUUUUUUUUAUAUAAAUAUUUUAAUACAUAUAUAUUGUGUCCGUGACCUGCUGACACAUGGCCAUGUCACCAUUAUAUUUAUCUAAACCACAUGUUACACAGUAGAACCCACUAGAGGGAUAGAAUCUAGUGGGGAUUUGUCAUUGUGACGUGGCUAUGGACUGCCACACAUAACGUGUUCUACAUGUGCUAUUAUCAUAGACGAUGAUGCAUGAAGAAGAAGUUGUGGGAAAAUUGAGCUUCUUUGAGAUUUCAGCCCAAGGAAUUGAUGCUGUUAAAGAUGUUCCUGAUGAUAUGCUUGCAGGAUUCGAUCUCGUAAAGCAAUAUAACCUGGGCCUAUUGCUAGCUAGGAAUUAUGGGGCCUUCUGUUGAGGGUAGGCCAUGUUUCCCUUGAAUCCAUUGUUUAUGGCAUCAUUGUCCAUGAAAAAGUGGGGAAAGCAAUUGAACUCGGGCCAUGUUCAAAUAGGCUUCUAUAUAAUCAUGCAUUAACCAGACUUUAGGAGCUAAGAGUUGCAAAUAAUAUAUCAAGUGGCAUUCUAAUCUGGCUUGAAGGCUAAACCAAUGUUUUGGACAAACUUAUGAUCCUUAUGUGCGAUCCUCUUAUUUGUAAAGUAGCACGCGAAUUAUGCUUAUAAAUUGUAGAUGAUCUUGACCUACCUAACUAGCUCCUAUUUGCACUCCAUCCAAAAUUGUAGAUCAAAGAAUUCUUUUUUAACAUCAUUAUUUCUAUCAUUUUCAGAUUAGGCUUUUUUCAGUCGGUAUGCAAACCUUAGUCAAUUUGGAACAUGACUAGAUUGUCAUUCGUUGUAAAAUUUCAUCCUAAUCCCUAGGAGUCCAUCUUUUCGUGGCAAGUACUAUGGAUAGACCAGAUCUACCAGUACAAAAGGAAGGUUCUUCUGAAUGUCACGCAAGAACUUGAUAUAUUUCGAGAAAAAAAAAGAGAGAAGUGACUUGCCAACGGGGACCAUGACACCAUGUCCAUGUGAGAUGUUUACCAAUUCGAAUAUCAUUAGUCUUAUCAACAAGCCUAGAUAUUUUGGCCACAAAUCCCCAAUCAUCACUAGUAUAUACAGGCUGUCAAAAAUCUUGGAACAUCCAAAUCAUCCAAUCAACCAAGUUUUUAUGCCAACUUGCCGAGUCCUCCAAGCGAUCAACCUGGACCUAUCAGUUUGGACGCAAUCAGCUGGAUCGGGAUUCAGGAAUGACCUCACUCGAUCUAAUUGACUAGGACCAGUUCCAAAUAGUUCGAAGCUAAAAAAGUCAAUAUAUGACUAGGCUAGUUAUAAGUCACUUGGGUGCAAGAAUUGUUAUGAUUUUUUUUUUGGUAAAAAAGCACAAAAAACUUACCUCGACAUAUUUGAACAAUAACAAUGCCUGUUUCAGAGCAUUAUUAGUUCAUAAGAAAAUUAAAAGCAUCAUUAGAACAAUAAUAAUGCGUGCGAUCAAUCCACCCUUACGGUGAGCCCUGCUUCUAAUCUUCACAGGUUCCGACGUUCCGUGCAGCAAACAGGAAAAGAUUUCAUGCCGCUGCUGCAAGCGGGCUUUGCCGUGAUUUCUGGAGAAGCUCAACCUUCCAGAGUUCCAGCUCCAGAAGCAUUUGACUGGCUUAUAAACACUUCACACCGAGUCAAAAAUCAAAUUAAACAGAUAAAGCUGGAUCCAGAGGAAAGCUAAUUGAGGUCCAGGCUGUGUCGCACCCGGGCAGCAUCCCUGAGCAUCGUAUUCCUGCUUGCUAGCCAGGACAAAAUAGUAACAGGAGCCUCCGGACUCGAUAAUAUUCUGAGAAGCUGCCCAAUUUCUUACUACUUUUCCCUUCUGUUUUUUGGCAGGCUUCCUUUUUAACCGCUUUCGCUCUACUCUCCUACAUAUCAUAGAAUCUCUGGGCCUCGUCCUCCGUAUCUUUGAAGACCCACAUGUCUGCCCCAGAACGACCUCCGCAAACCAGAAGCCAGGAUUUUCUCACCUGCUCCCCAAAGAUCUCCUCCCCCAUCUUUUCAUGAGAAUAUCUUGUAUAUAAUGACUCCCACCCCCUCCCUCUCUUUCUCAACUUCAAUCACCAUUCUUACCACCCCCCUCUCCUUUAUAGCCAGUUAGUGAAAUGGCCUGGCUAAGGACCGGCUCCAUCUCAUCCUUCCUUAUAGUCAUCUUCCUCGUAAUUACUAGCCUUAUGUCCAUAGUCAGCCAAAUCGGGCCCUGGCCUGGGGCCCUGCCCCAAGACCUUGUUGCCAUCGACCUCGCCGCGAAGCUCCGUCUGGACUCCCAUGCUACUGCUCUAGUCUCUACCGACUUCGGCGGCCUCACCCAGGUCGCCCCCGCCGCUGUUUUCUACCCGUCGUCGCCCCACGACAUUGCCGUCCUGGUGCAAUUCUCCUACUCCUCGUCCCGGCCCUUCACCGUAGCCCCCCGAGGCCACGGCCACUCCAUCAGGGGCCAGGCCUUUGCUCCUGAUGGAGUGGUCAUAGACAUGCCAUCGCUCGGCCGCGGACGCGCCGAUCGGAUCAUCGUGCACUCGGAUGACUCCUCAUUUCGGUACGUCGAUGCCGGCGGCGAGCAGCUAUGGAUCGACGUGCUGCAUGCAGCGUUGGAACACGGGCUUUCGCCGCCCUCAUGGACCGAUUACCUCUACUUGACCGUCGGCGGCACCCUCUCUAAUGCCGGCGUGAGCGGCCAGGCUUUCCGACACGGCCCGCAGAUCUCCAAUGUGUAUGAAUUGGACGUCAUCACCGGUACUGAACCUACCAACUUAUGAAUCAAGUGUUGAGAUAUGUGUGAAGAAAAUAUAACAAAAUGCUUUAGUAACUCAUUAAGAUGGAAUUGCUGGACUGCAUGUGGAACAGGGAAGGGGGAGAUGGUCACAUGUUCCAGGGACUACAACUCGGAGCUCUUCUACGCCGUGUUAGGAGGGCUGGGCCAGUUCGGGAUCAUCACCCGGGCUCGGAUCGCCUUGGAGCCCGCGCCCCAGAGGGUUCGCUGGGUUCGGUUGAUAUACGAUGAUUUCGGGGCGUUCACGAGGGACCAGGAGCGCCUCAUAGCGAUAUCUGCAUCCUGGGAGAGCAAGAAGAAAGGAGGGGGUUUCGACUACGUGGAGGGAUCGGUUCUGGCGGCGGAUGGAAGUCCUAUCGGGAGCUGGAGGUCGUCUUCCUUCGCGGGGUGGGACGCCGAGAGGAUCGCCAGGCUCGGAGCGCAGCACGGCGUCAUCUACUGCUUGGAAGGGGCCAUGUACUACGACUCGGUCAGGGCAUCACGUUCGUGGGUGGUGGUGGAUGAAGGUAAAAAAAAAAAAGUACCGACUAGUUUGCCGGUUCCUAUUUGUACCAAAAAAUUAUAUCCUACACUGCAUGCACCACAUGGCCAUGCAUGACGCGAAUAACAACCCCUUGUUUCUGCAUGCACCACCAUGUGCAUCGGAAACGAGUGGCUGUGAUUAUUAGUUAGGACCCACAUGCUUUUACUCCAAACAUUCUUGAUCCAGCAAAAUUUUUAGUUGGAUCACAUCCGCUAUUGACCUGAUGGGCUAAUCCAACCAAAAAGCAACACGGCCAUGACUUUCUUUUACGUGGCCGUGUACGCCACCAAUAACAACCGCUUGUUCUUGCAUGCACCAUCAUGUGCAUUGUUGCAAAAAUGAGUGGCUGUAAUUAUCAGCGUGCAGAACCAUGUGGUGCACAACGUCUACGAUAUAAUUUAUCCUUGUAUCCAUGAUCGUAUCUUUCGUAGGGCCCAUAUGCUUCUACUUCAAACAUCCUUGAUCUAGCAAAAUUUUUAGGUCGAUCAAAUCUACUAUUGAGUGGGUGGAUCAAUCCAACCAAAAAGCAACAUGAACCUGGCUUCCUUUUUCCUCUUUAUUCUUCUUUGUGUGUGUUUGGCCAUGUUGCUUUCUAGUGGGACUGCUCCACCGGCUCAACGAUGGAUCUGAUCUAACCAAUAUUUUUUUCUUAAUUUGUGUCUCUGCCACACCCCAAGCAAAAAGUGUGCGGUCUCCUUUAAUCAGACUUCUAAUAGCAAUAUAGUAAAAAUAGAUUCAUGUGAAGCUCCUCCUUUAAAAACAUUUACAACCUCUACGUUUACAUCUGGUAAGAAGACUGGUGACUCAUCUCUCUUUUUAUAAUCUUAAUUUGUUAGGUUUGACUCGAGCCGUUGGUAAACAUAUCUAUGGUUAGCUGGAUGGUAGGCCCACGUUUGACAAAGCAACAAACCAAGCCCAAGCUUCUAAAUGUUUAGAUUUUGACUCCUAAUGGAGCCAGGACCAGACAGUGUCGAUUAGCUAGUUGUCGAUACGGAAAGCUAGGUGUCACUUGGAUAUAUAAUAGGCUCCUUCAAGUUGCAUCAUCAUGAAACAAUAACCACAUCUCACGUUUGUGAUUAAGUUGGGCUUAAGAUGUGGUGCUCAUUCCGUUUAACAACCCAAGCCUGAGCAGCCAAUGUUUUUCACGUCUCAGCUUAUUCUCAGACGGUCCUCCAGAAAUAGUCUCACAUCGUACGUGUUUGAGCCAUUCUCAUGAAUACUAACCUGCAUGUCACACUGUUUUUGUUCAUAACCUUCAUAUAUUCGAUCAUUUGCAUUAGUAGUGUAGUUUACUUUUUCAAUCCGUUGUUAGUACAUCAGCUUUCAUUUUGGAGUACCUUCUCAUAGGUACAAGUGCAAUAAAACUGUUGUAUUCAGAACCAUUUUUGGCCUUAUAGGAAGGCCUGUCCUGAAGUCUUUUAAUAGAUCGACACUGAUCUUUGAGACUUGAGGUUGUUAAAUAAGCUGUAAAAGCAUGAACGAAUAGUUGGUUGGAUUGUCCUUGGUCCGUUCAUUGGAUGCGUGUGAACAAAGAAGUGUUUGACCUAUUCGAAGGCAAAAAAAAAAAGGAAAGUGUUGACCUUGUAUUCUAGUUUGUGUGCAAGCAUAGAGUAUUGACUUUUGGCAUUUUCUGUAGUUUUUCCAAGCUGCUGACAAUUUGGACCUACUGACAGGAGCUUGAAUUGUUGCUUGAAGAGCUAAGCUUUGUCCCAGGGUUUGCGUUCACAAACGAUGUCUCCUAUGAGCGAUUUCUAGAUAGAGUUCAUGAUGGGGAGUUGAAACUCCGUUCGAUGGGCCUCUGGGAUGUUCCUCACCCAUGGCUUAAUAUAUUUUUACCCAAGUCUGGAAUACAGGAUUUUAAUAGUGGAGUCUUCAAGAAGAUACUGAAGCACAACGAGUCAACGGGCCCAAUUCUGUUCUAUCCUCUGAACAAGAACAAGUACGUAAACUAUUCAAUUCAUUAAUGAUCCAUGGAUGAAUUAUAAUAUUGUUGGCUAAUUAUACGGAUGCAUGUGUUACAGGUGGGACGAGAGGAUGUCGUCCGUGAUCCCUGACGAAGAGAUCUUUUAUUCCAUAGGUUUGCUAUGGUCUGCGAUAAUGGAUGAUUGGGAGUACUUGGAGAAUCUAAACAUGGAGAUCAUACAGUUCUGCGAUCAGAAAGGCAUCAAAUAUAAACAGUACUUGCCUCAUUAUUUAUCUCAGGAGGAUUGGAUGAAGCACUUCGGUCCCAGAUGGGACAAGUUCGUCGAGAUGAAGAGGAAGUAUGAUCCUAAAGCACUCUUAUCUCCAGGGCAGAAAAUAUUUACAACCUCGCUCGUGGACCAUGCCACCAAUUAGCAGUGUCGUGGCAGAUUAGUUAAUCCAAAUCAAGGCUUCAUAUAUAGAAAAAAAUUAGCCGACAUCUAUCAAUAUCUUGUACAAAUUGCUUAUGAUUUGUUAAAGCGUCUUUUAAUUAACAUUCAGUAUCUGGAGCAGAAGAGGUUCUUUAGAAAAAGAAUCAAAUCUCUAUGGAAAUUUUGUAAUUUUUCUUAGUUCCUCCAUUAGCGCUCUUGUGCACCAUGCAUGUUGAUAUAUCUAACGCGAGGCUGGUGGACUGUCUGUUUAAAGUGCAGCUUUUUUUAUUUUUUUGCUAAAAACGAAAGUAUUAUAUAUAAUAAGUACCGUUAUAAUUAAAAUAAUUAAAAAAUAGCAUAUUAUGAAUUGCACCGAAUAAUUAUUUUUUAUUUAAAAAUAUUUUUUAAGUGGUUGGUAAUGAAAGAGGCCAUCCAACCUAUGGUGUUAUUGGUUCCUUUGAAUAUGUGCUCUGCCGGUGAGGCUUCGGCAGCUCUGAAAGGUGGCGUCAACGGACAAUAUACGUCAUCGUAAAGAUUUCUAACGUUAGGACGAAGGCAUUGGGUGGACGUGAGUGCGGACGACUUCCUUUGUCAAUGUCCUUGCUCGAACUACUUGACCCUACAAGGGGGAUGAUGAGUUGAUGACCGGAAUGGCAAGACUUGCGAGAUUUCCAUCACGUCAUGGGCCACCCUUCACAUCAUUGUGAUUGGGCAAAACAUUGAGGCAGAUCUGGGAAGGACACUAUAAAGAUUCGCAGAUACAUCAAUAGACUGUUCUACGUUUGAAGGAGGACAAGAGUUACGGUGGCCGGAUACUCAGGUGGUACGUCAGUCAGUCGUUGUAUGAUUGGAAACUCGACGGAAGUUACCAUGGCUCGAUGAUCACGUUGUUGGUCAUGUCAUCGCUGCAAUUACAAAGAGCAAGGAGAAAAAGGUUCCUAGAUUGUUCUGCUCAGACUUUGCUCAUCUUUGGUUCCCAAAAAAAUCAAAAUGUUGUUCUUGUGAUUUAGAUUAAUCAUAGUAGGCGAUUUUGAGUUAUAACUAUUCUGAGGCACUUUGUCUUGAAUGAAAUGGGACUCUUUGAGAUGUGUCCCCAUAGCAAAAUGUUGGUACUAUACUUCUUUUUUUUAAUCUUUAGUCUUAUAAAAGUACUCAAAAUCUUUCUAGUAAAUAAUCGAUGUGGGAUCAAACACACUUAUACAGAUUCUUACAUACUUCCCCUAUUUAAGCUCCGAUGUUCUCGUUAGGCUCAAAGUUAAAAUUUAUUCAAAUCUACUCACAAGCACUACAAUCAGCCUCAAUAAACUCGUGCUGCAAUAUUUUCUAGUCCACAUGGACUAUGAGCUGGAUCCGCUCUGAUAUCACUUGUAAUAAUACAGGACUUCAUCCAAAAAGAUUAGUCGGAAUGUAUUUUUUGGAUUCGUUAGUUCUAUAUAAGUACCUAAUAUUUUUUCAAUGAAUUACCGAUGUAAAACUAAACACAUAUUUGCACGGAUCCUCAUAGUUUAUUAUGAGAAAUAAUACCCAACAUCUGGUAUACCACCUCAACGGCACGCCAAGUCAAUCCAUUUUCCCUGUGAUAGGAACCCCUUUGGGAGGCCAAGAUCAUGAUCUCACUACUCGCGAGAUCAGGGAAAAAAAAGGACCUCCUCUCUAACCUCCUCAACUACAAUCUUACCCUCUGGGAGGUCAAGAGUGCAAUCUUGCAUGCUCGCGAGAUCUGCAAAAAAAAAAAAGGGACCUUAUUUUUGACCACCUCGAUCACGAUCUCACUCUCCAGCGGACAAAAAUUCACUAGCCCGCUUGUGUGAGAAACUCCCAUGCCACCUAUGAGGAUGCCGACUCUCUCCACCUCGUCCUUCCGCUAAUGGAGGCCAUUGCCACCGGCUGGGGAUCACCCAUCGAGUCGUGAAGAGGGAUUCCCAUCAUAAAGCGCUCCGAUUCAAACUCAUCUCGAAUUAGUGUUCGAGAAAAAGUUGCACCAGAGAGGAUUCAAACUAAUCUUAAAUUAGUGUUCCAGCAGCAUAGUUUCCUUAUAUGUACAGCAAAUUUUGAAGUUUUAGAAUUUGAGGAACCUACUUUGGACUUCAAGAUAGGUUUAUGCCGAGCUGAUCAUGAUUUAUGCCGAGCAGAUCAUGAGCCGAGCUUCGGGUCUGAACUAUUUAAAAUUGAACAUCUUCCAUGCCCAAGCCCUGAUCAUGAUCAGCUCCAGACUUCAUGGUGAGGCUGUAAGACGCCAAAAUCUUGCAUCCAAAUCGCACCUUAUUUGUUACUACCGGUGUAGUACGAUACAAUGUUCCCUCUGGGAGACAAAUUUACUACCGCUCUGGGUCGUUACCACCUCCUCCUGACCCCGCCACCGUCCCGUCUCCUCCUUCCAUUCUCCUCCAUCUCCCAUCCCCGCCAUCCCACCGAACUCGAGUCCUCCCUCGACUUUCUUCUUCAGCAAUGCGCGACCCCUCGUCAAGCCAAGCAAAUCCACGCCCAGCUCCUCACCUCCUCCGCCUUCCACCAUCCCGACUCCGCCUACCUCUUCGCGCGGCUCGUCUCCGUCUACGGCCGCCUCGGCCUCCUCCCUGACGCCCGCUCCGUCUUCCGCGCCGCCCACGACCGCCGCUCCUCCCUCCUCUGGAACUCCAUCCUCCGCGCCAACCUCGCCCACAGCCAUUCCCUCGAAACUCUCUGCCUCUACAACGAAAUGCGUGCCCUCGGCGCCCUCCCGGACGGUUUCACCUUCCCUCUAGUUAUCAGGGCCUGCGCCGCCCUCGGCGUCCCCAGACUGUGUGGUCCUGUCCACAACCACGCUGUCUCUAUGGGCUUCCAGUGGCAUCUCCACGUUGCCAACGAACUGAUGGUGAUGUACGGCAACAUCGGGAGGAUGGACCUGGCCCGCCGAGUGUUCGACGCGAUGCCUCUCAGAAAUGUCGUCUCUUGGAACACUUUGAUUUCUGGCUACUCGCGGAAUUAUGAUUCUGAGGCAGCACACGAUGCAUUCCGAUUGAUGGAAUUCACGGGGUUUGAGCCGAACCCUGUCACAUGGACGGCACUGCUGUCGGCCCAUGCCCGGUGCCAGCGGCACGAUGAAGUUAUCGGAUUGUUUGAUAAGAUGAGGACGAAAGGAGGUAAAGCCACAGCACAAGCUGUUGCGGUGGCUCUAUCCGUUUACCCUUACGCGAGCAGCGCGUCAUUGCAGAAGGGCAAGGAGAUGCACAGCUAUGCUAUCAGGAGUGGCUUCGAAUGGUACUCUUUUGUUAAAAAUUCGCUCAUCUGCAUGUAUGGGAAGCUUGGGUAUAGAGAGGAUGCCGAGAGGCUAUUUUUGGAGACAACAGUGAAGGAUUUAGUCAGCUGGAAUGCGUUGAUUUCUAGCUAUGCGGCUGCUGGUUUGUGCGGCGAAGCUUAUGAGAUCUUCUCACGAAUGGAGAAAACCGGGGAAUUCAGACCCAACGUGGUAAGUUGGAGUGCAGUGAUUGGAGUGUUUGCAUCAGGCGGGAUGGUGGAGCAAUCGCUGGACCUCUUUCGGCAGAUGCAGCAAGCUGGUGUAGCACCCAAUUCGAUCACAGCUGCCACUGUUCUAGCUGCAUGCGCAGAGUUAUCGUCAUUGCGCUUGGGUAAAGAGAUUCAUGGCCACGCCAUUCGAGGCUUAAUGGAUCAUAAUUUGUUGGUAGCAAAUGGACUUCUCAAUAUGUACACCAAAAGUGGGAGCCUGAGAGAAGGGCAGUCGGUGUUCAAUAGAAUGGAAGACAAGGAUUUGAUCUCAUGGAACUCGAUGAUUGCUGGUUAUGGGAUACAUGGAUUCUGCGAUGAAGCUCUUGGCACAUUCAGUGACAUGGUGAGAGCUGGUUGUGAGCCGGAUGGGAUCACCUUCAUUGCCGUUCUGUCUGCGUGCAGUCGCUCAGGGCAUGUCUCUCAAGGCCGUCGCUUGUUCGUUCAGAUGGUUGACGAGUAUAAGAUCCAGCCAUGCAUGGAGCAUUACUCAUGCAUGGUGGACCUUCUUGGGCGUGCAGGAUUGCUACGAGAAGCAAGUCAGCUCAUGGAGUGUAUGCCGGUGAAGCCCAAUGCUUGUGUUUGGGGGGCCUUGCUGAACUCUUGCAGGAUAUAUGGGAACACGGCAACAGCUGAAGAUACAAUGGCACAAGUUUUGGGGCUCGAAGGGCAGGCUACAGGGAACUACAUGCUUCUUUCUAAUAUAUAUGCUGCGUGUGGGAGGUGGGAGGACUCAGCAAGGGUAAGAGUGAUGACAAAGGUGAAAGGUUUGAAGAAAAGUCCUGGGCAGAGUUGGAUUGAGGUGAAGAAUAAUGUGUAUGUGUUCUCGGCAGGAAGUUCAUUGCCACCUGGUGCAGAGGACGUUUAUGAAGUUCUCGAGGAUUUGUAUCGGCAUAUGGAGAGUGAUGAGUUUGCAUUGGACUGGCCUUUGUUGCAAUGCAAAUUGUAGUCAAGGGAGAUUGGGCAGUGGACUAAAGUCUCUGCCUACAAUUGAUGUCCAUUUUUUUUAAGGCAGAUGAGUUUUUUGUGCUGUGGUUGGCACAUGGCAAGAGACUUCACCGUGCCAAUUAUACAAUGGUUUUCAGAAACAGGUUGGGUUCUCGCAGAAACAAAUUGGCAGAAUCCUUUUGGUGCAUUAACCAUGGGAUCAGUCAAUUUGAGAAUAAUGCUGAGUUCACUUUGGAGGCAUUGGAGAAUUCCAGCUUAAGAUUUUAUUUCAAUUCCUGGAGAAAUGCCAUUGCCUUGUGUCUUUUAACAUUGAGAUGUGGAUUGGUGGGGGAUCUUAGUAGAGACCAGCAGAAAAAUUACAUAACUUAAGCUAGUAGUGAUGACCUGGGAGAAGAAGAAAGGCCGGUGGGAUUUCAGUGUCCUGGGUCAACACAAACCUGCACAAGGCUAUUCAUCCAUCUUCCUUGUCGGUGCCACAUUCUGAAAAAAUAUUAAGAUUGCCAAGGUGCAAUUUAAGAUAAUAAAAUGCCCUUGAAAUUGUCAACCUUUGGACCUAAAGCAGUUGAGGAAAUUUUGCUCCGCACCAUCUGACCAUAUCAAAGCCAACCUAACUGGCACCAAACCUCUAACCAUGUCAAACAGAAGUAAUAACCAUGUCUACGUUGACAAAAGGCAGAACAAGACGGUAUCAUCGCCCCAUGAACUUGGUGAUGAUAUUCUGAGACUGAAUGGUGUACCACCAAAAACAACAAUGAUCAAAAGGCGUUGAUCAUCCUGUUCAACACAGUUGUUUAAAGGCAAUGUUAGGUGCUAGUUCUACAGCAGGAUGCAUACUUCAGUAAAUAUUCAAUACGCCCCAUCACACGGGGCCAAGCCAUUCACCAUACAUGAGGUCCUGCGUGCCAAACAAAGUCGUCAUUCACUACAGGUCUUUGUCCAAAAUAUACCACCACAGAAGAGAAACUUGUUUUUGCUCGCGACUUGCGUCAUUUUCUCGGUAUGCAUUCUUCAGCAUUUUAACAUGGUUAUGCGAGAAUGAGCACAGGUUCAUGGGCUACGUGCUUAUUAAAAUGGCCAGACCAUCUAUGCCAAGUUUAAACAACAUUAGGCUAUAGUGAUUGAUUCUUCGGCGGUGGCGGUAACCUCUCCUGCACCUGCAAAUCAGAUAAUAUAGAGGAACAACAUCAGAGAGCUGAAGAUAAUUAGCCUUGGAGACAAAUCUGCAUCUCACCGAUUCCUAGAUCACCAAACACUAGCAGAUAAAAUAAGGGGAAACUUCUUUUAGGCUGCCUACUUCGGCAAUCAACUUGAUGUACAUCAUCCAUUUAAUGCACGUUAGGCAAGUAGAUUGUCCUGCCUCUAUAAGAAAGUAGUCAGCUAUAUGACAAGAACAUCAUUAGAAUGGUCCACAAAACAACUAGCAUUCCAGACAAUCCAUAAUUAAUGAUUGUUGUAUGAUAUUCUGUCUCCAAAUAAAGGAUUUAACUUUCUUUCAUGCCGAUUCAACAAGGUCUCUGGUUAGUCUAAGUAAUAAGUAACACACUAUGGAUUCAACCAACCCUAUGAUGUAAACUCUAAAUUUUUUUUAUGCUGUGCUUAAAAUACGUGCUGAUUGCAGAAGAUGUUGUGCAAGCAAUUAAAUAAGAAGAUUAUCUGUUUCCUGCAUAGAGGACCGCAAAGGUUUAGAAAACCAAAUUCUGAAAUUGGCAAUACAUGCUGGCAAAGUAGAGGUAAUUUUCCCCAUUAAACUUUUGAUCUUGAAGGUCUGUAAAAUAAGUCUGAUGGAUUUCCAUUAAAUAAGGCUAGUGAAACCUCAAGUAGGGAUUUUGUUAUGCUGUGGCCCUCCCUUGUCUAUGGCCCUUGAUAGGGACAUAAGGAAACUGAGAUUUGCAAAGCCAACCUCAGAUAACGAGCAUAUCACUGAUUAUGAUAAUUCAUGAGGAGCUCGCCCUCUACUUGAAAACUCACUCUAAAACAAAUUGUGUCCUAACUAUAUGGGCAAAAGUACCUAGUACAAGCAUGCCGUUUGGGGGUGAAGAAAAUUAUAAACAACACUAUGAAAAAACAUUGAUAGGCCUUAUUAUUCAUGGGCAGUACUUAUUACAUAAUACAGGACAGUGCAACUUAGGAUAAAGAGAGAGCAAAUUAUGGAACUGGUACAAUAUAUUUAGCUUACAACGAAAAUGACCCUUCAGGACAACACUAUUUUGGGAAUUGAGCUCUAGUAGGCCUCAAAUUCUAAUACUCUAUUUGCAUAUGUAUUUACAUAUAAAUAUGCAUCACAUAUAUAAUGUUGCACAAUCUUUUUAUAAAUGACCCAUGGAUGUAAGAACCUGCUAAGAAAUCAGAUAGAACUGAAGAAAAUACAAACAACAGAAAGUGCUAAACAAGUAACACAAAAGUCUUCGUUCAAAACUUUCAAGUCCUUUUUAUCUUAUCUUGGUGCCAUGUUCAUUGAUAUCAAUUAAUUUGCUAUGAACUAACCAUCAGCGCUGCCAGAAUUUGCUUCUUUCUCUCUCUAUCUCCCUAUGUGUGUGUGUAUUUGUUUCUUCUCCCAAUUUCAUCAUGUAAGGAUAUUCCUGCCAUCAAAUAGCUAUAGAAAAGGCAACAAGCUCAAUGAUCAUCUUAUCCUUAAACCCAACAUUUUCUCCUUGGAUUUGCAUUUUGGGUGUUAUCCUGGACAUUGUUAGAGCACGUGUUUAACAUCAGGUAGUCUCAAAUGGUUUGUUUUUGACUAUACAGCCUUUGGGCCUGGAUGGAGACUACUUGAUCUAGAAGUCUCCUCUGAGGUGGUAGACCUUGAUCAAGUCUCUUCAAAGAUUGAUGAAUGUAUGUCUAUUACUUUCAAAUCUGGAUAAUUACUCAGAUUACCACCGUUUUAUCUAAGAGGUUGUUCAGUUGCUUAUAUGCAAAAUAAUUUCUACCUCAAGCUUAUAAUGACUCAACAUGUCUACAUAACCUAGACACUAAAAGAAAAAAAUACACGUAUACAGAUCAAAUGAAAGAACAUGUGCAACUUUUGUUAAAAGGAAUUCCUUUCCACAAAGAAGAUAACUGCAUUGGUUAUUCUGUCUUGCCCAAUUUUCUAAGUGCUCAACAUAUGCAUGUUUUAUUAAGAAAAGAAUGCCUAAUUAUGUUAUAUUACUCUUCUCAAAACUUUCUUUCUGCUUCUGCCAAUCCAAACAAUAGCAAACUUGAGAUCCGAAUGAAAAUAACUAUAUCAUGGGUUAUAUGGCUAUAUGAAUGUCCUUGACUGUGAGAGGGAUAUAAGAUUAAUAUGACAUAUAAAACAGGUGGUGAAAGUAGAGAUAGAUACAUAAAGGGCAUUUGGACAGGUAGGUACCAGUUAUCCCUAGUAUGAUCACAGUGCAUUGCAAUUGCCUCUAAACCAAGUGAGGGUGUAGUAGGCCAUAGGUCAGGAGAAGAGGAGAAAGGCACCCUAUUCUCAAAGAAUUUGACUAAAUAGGAAGUGGUCUUUCUCCUUAGUCUUGUAAAAAAAGUUAGGGUGGAGGGAGGAGCAGAGGAUAAAAAUAUUUGAAACUGGUAUUCUACAAUCCACUCAUGAAAGAUCAUUGCUUUAUAGAUUAGUGAUGAAAAGUAGUGAAACUGAUAGGAAAUGCUCCAAUUAGUGGAUUACACAUGUGCGAAGAGUAUUGAGAUGCUUCUAUCUAUCGCAUUAGAAGCUCAUGAACACAACAAUGGGAAACUCGCCCACAUAAAUGAACAAAGAAGUCCUGCUGGUUAUAGGCGAGAAAACACUUGUUUAGCAGGCCACAUGUCCAAAUAUCUAAAAAUUAUUAACCAAUAGAUAAACCCACCACCUCUGAUCAUAAAAAAAAACAAAACAAAAAAAAACAAAAAAAAGGACAGAGAGAAGGGGGCUCCAAAUUUAUAGCUGGUUUUUGGGGGAGAAGGUCAAAACACCCUUCCCCUUUCAUCUGAAGGGCCAGCCCCAUGGGGGAAAAAAAAACUUUGCUUUGAGAGGUGAUGAAAAUGGGGGCAAGGAUUUAGAACUAUGUAAAGUGAGAAGUGCUUUGAUCAAUGUGAAGAGAGGUGAAACACAGGACCAUAACAUGUGCUAGAACCCGGCCACAAGCCAAGCUUGGACCAGUAAACCAAGGGUUCAAGAUGAGUUAUUGGUAAGCAUGGAUGUGGUUAUUGAUGGCAUUAUUAAUGGCAAGAUGUUGGAAGUCAAACCAAUAAGGGUUUCCACGAGAAGAGAACUUAGGCUAAGGUGGCUCAAGGAGCAAGCAAGUAUGUUUUAAGAGACAUGGAAGGUUUCCAAGGAGGAAACCACUAGCCUCUAGGAGACUUUUCUAAUGUUCUAGUUCUUCUCAAGGACAGUGGUGAGGAGUCUAGGAAGGAAUGGGACACUAGGGCCCUUGUUGGCAAGAGCCUUGGUCAUUGGCUAUCGAUUGAUUAUGUGAGACGAAUGGAGAGAUCGAAGAUAGGCAAUACGAUUAAGCUCUCUCCCUAGUGGAUGGUAUCCACCUAUUUUAAUUCAAAACAGAGGAGAGAAACACGGUGCUUCUGGAAGGUCCUUGGACCAUCACUAGCCAACUCUUGGCCCUUGAACCAUGGCCUCCUGAUUUCAUCCCAGAGGUUGAUGCAAUCUAGCAUGUGGCUGUUUAGAUAAGGUUACCAAAACUUUCUAUCAAGCAUUGGUAUCGAUCUCUUGUUCAUUGUAUUGCCACUACUAUCAAUCAAUUGCUACUUGCACAGAUCUUCUGGCAAGGUUGGGUAUGUGAUGGUUUAUGUUCAAGUGGACCUUUCCUAGUCCUUGCAACUAGGACCGCAAAUCCGAGAUGAGCACUGGAGCUUUUGGCAACUCAACAUUUACAAGAAUAUUAUCGCUUGUUUCGGAUGUGGCCUAAUUGGCCAUCUUGAUCUUGCAUGCACUUUUCCAGAUCGGUGGUCAACAAGUUAUCAGCCUAUUGUAGGAGCCCUCACCCUUGGCAUCCUCAAGAUUAGCUUUGACUAGUCCAUUAAAGUAGCAAGUGUUGUGACACGGAACCCAUCAUUAGCAAUCAUAUUGGCAAGCUUCUUGCUAUUGGGGGUAGCUUUCAGCAGGACUCUAGGUCCUCCAAACUGAAAUUCAAGCAGAGCUUGGGUGGGGAUCACCUUUGCUGCGAUGCACCACCAAGCUGAUAAAAUUUGGCUAAAAGGCAAAUCCUCCACCGUAAUUUCCUAGAUCAAGCCCAUCAGCUACCAUGGACCCUAUCCCUUUGUUCCUUCACAUCUUUUAUCUCACUUGGCGUCUCGAACUUCAAAUGUUCUCAUACUUAUCGAGAAGUUAAUCAAUGGCUGACUGGAUUGCCAAUCUUGUAGCCGACAAUGCUGUCUUAUCUUUUACCUCUUCUACUGGGUUAUAUUUGCUCUCAUCUAUAUAAGUUCCCUAGUCGACUGGACUGGAGGGAAAUGAAGCAUCUCAGAGAAGUAAAAAAACUAAAAAUCACUCCUCGGCACGCUGUAUCUUUGACGGUGUUAGAUAGUAUCCAGAUUAAUAAAAUUAAACAAAAAUCCUUUCUUGCAUGAUAGUUUUCAAGGGUAUCAUAUAGAAGAGGUGUGCGGACAACCAAAUUAAUAUUUUUUUUUAAAAAAAAAAUCACUUCUGGCAGCAAUGCUGCAUUGGUAGGGCUUUAGAUUGAAGGAUAUGUGGGAUACAAGAUCAAUAUUAUGGAACGAAAAAAAAAGGCAUCUUGGCUUGCUAUUUUGAGGGUCUCGGAUAGAAGGGAUACGUAGAUCACCAGAUUAACAAAAUCAAA